CAAGUGCAGUGCUAGCCAGCAAUGCCAUGGCCAUUGAAGUUUUGCUUGGUGGUGAUGAUGGGUCAUUGGCUUUUGUUCCCAACAGUUUCUCUGUGAGUCCUGGGGAGAAGAUUGUGUUCAAGAACAAUGCUGGUUUCCCUCACAACGUUGUGUUUGAUGAAGAUGAGAUCCCAAGUGGGGUUGAUGCAACGAAAAUUUCCAUGUCUGAAGAAGACCUUCUUAAUGGACCUGGUGAGACUUACACCGUUACUUUGGAUGCUAAGGGAACCUACAAGUUCUACUGUUCACCUCACCAAGGAGCUGGUAUGGCUGGAAACGUCACUGUUAAUUAAAUUAUAAUGUUUUGUCUCCUAUUUAUAAUAUGGUUCUUUCAUGUUAAUUUUGUUCUUGUAGAAGAGCUUAAUUAAUCGUUUGUUGUUAUGGAAUACUGUUGUAUGAGAUGAACUGAUUUAAUGUAAUUCAUUUCCUUAAGUGGAGUCAGAACGUUUCCUCCUUAAUUAACUAGAUAUAUAUAUAGAUAUAUGCAUCCUCUGUCCUUAAAGAGAGAACGCACUUGAUCGAAACACCGAUUUCACAUACUAUUUUCCAUCACAUUACAUUACUUUACUUAAUACUUAUUUAUUUUUAUCUCACUUACCUUACACAAGACAAAACGUGUUUUCUCUAAUAUGAUGAUCAUAUCCUAUCUAGAUAUUGCAAGUCUGGUAUAAAUGUAAAUUUGAAAUCGAGGAGAACACAACAUAAGAUAAGAUCAUUUUGAUCAUACAAAUGUUUCUGUCACUCAAAACGAUCAGUUAAUUUAGAGUAAAAUAAUUAAUCUUUUUCUAUAAACAACGACAAAACAUAUCUCACUGACUAGGAUAUACUAGAUGGAGUAAUCGAAGUCAUAAUGUUCUCCAAUAAAAAAAUAAUCUUUUUUUCAGAGUUCUCAAUUUAUAUACUCAAAAAAUAGUACCAGAGUUCCAUCUUCUUAAAAAUAGAAUAGAGAGAAUCUCAACAGAUAAUAAUUGGCAUAAAAUAAAGAGUGAACUAUUACUACAUCUGUACUUUCAUAAGAUAAAAUGUUUGGUAAAUGAUACACCAAUCAGGAAGGAAUAAUAUGGUAAGGCUAGUAUAUAUGUUAGAGGAUGAAUAUCCAUUUCAUAUUGAUCUUAACACAACUUUUAAGUAAAGAAAAUACUCUAAAAUAUAAAAUUUGAAACAAACUUUUUACCUGGUAAGUGUGAAGUUCUCAUUGGAACAAUUAUGAACGAAAUCCUUGUGUGGGGCUAAGAAAUUAUGGUUUACUAUUACACACUUGAAGCCCCCAACUCUAUACAGAAAAAAAUCAAAUACAAAAUAUACAGCGUGGCUGUGGUAUAAGCAGAGCCUAUUGCAUACUAUACUGUAGAUGGUUAAAAAAGAAUUCAGGGCAAGGAGCCAUUAAACUUUCGCCCAUCACGUCCUGCAAUCCAAUUCUCUCCCUUACUUUUUAGAAUGGGUACUUAUUUUACGUUGAAAUUAAGUUAUGUCUAUGUAGUUAGAGCAUCAGGAAGAGUAGAACGUGAACCAAGCACCUUGCCUCCGACAUCUGGGAAAGAUUCAAAUCCAGGUAAAGAGCUUACUUUCCCAUUUGCAUUCACUUUGAUGGGAUAUUUCAAAAGGUGCCCUUGCAAUGAAGUAAAAUCAUCAGAUGUAAACUUCUUCCAGUUGUCUUCGGCGAUCUUGUUCACGCUCUUCAGGCAUUCCAAACUUUCAGGCUCGUUGAAGCAAUCGUGUAUGGUUCCUAAGUGCUCUGCCCACAAGGACAUUCUAUAUCCAUAUACCUGCAAAUAUUUCAAUCACACAAGUCUGUGUGAAAGUGAUAACUGGAGAAUUACGAGUCUAGAAAGAGGUAUGGAUCCUUUCCAUUCUCAAAGGAGGGCUCCAUUACUAAUAUUUUGAAUGUAUAGAUGUCCAAUUAUUCACAAUGUGUCACCAUUUCUAGAAAUAUGAAUCUUUAUACACCAAAAACUUUAGUAAUGGACUCAUUCAUUUCUAUUAAAAAAUGGGGAGGAUCCUUGCACUCGCCAAGAAGUGGAGAGGGUCCGCCCUCGCCAAGAAAGAUGGAAUCAUAGUUCUGUAUAGAUAGGUUUGUAGUACUAUAUUUAGUGAACUUUAUUGUACAAACCUGGCCGUGUGGAUAUCCCUUUUUCUUACUCCAUGUAUGACGGGGUUGAUAAGCACCCAUUGCUAUCUCAGUAUCCCUUGAUCCAGCCAAAGAUCGUUGGUUGAUAUUGGCAGACCCAACCAUCACAUAUUCAUCAUCCACAACCAUUCCCUUGGCAUGUACAUAAAUCAUAAAUCGUUGGAACUUUUGUGAAGCUGAGACCUGAUGAUUAUUGCAGAAAAACAUUAGCCUAAUGCUAUCAAAAUAAGAAUGAAUACCAACCCUGAACUGCAUAUCUACCAGCAAGUAGAUCGGUUGGUCAUAUACUUCACAUUCACAAUCCAGUAGUACUCUAGAGGAAUGUAACAAGCAAGUUCUAUAACAGAUGAAACAGAGUAACUAUUUGAAAUUUGAACUCCAUAAAACAUAUAAGCAAGCAAGUUCUAUAGUAAAUGAAACGGAGUAAUUAAUUAAAAUUUUAAUGUCAAUGAUUUAACGGUUCAAUGUUAACUAAUUACACUAACUAUGACUAUUAAGUUCUAUAAAAUUUUGAACAAUUACCGUGUCACCAUUAUCCGAAUGUGAAUUAUUUGUAGUUGAAACUUCAGUUGCAAACUUCUCUCGGUUACCGAGACAGUAAAAGUUGAGGUAAUCUUGUGGAUUCCUAUUUUCAAUGUUAUGAAGCUUUAACUCCCGAGCUAUGAUUUCAUACAUCAUUUCCAUAGUUUGUCCCUGAGAAUGUGAGUUCCUCUUCAUAAGCAUAACAAUAACAAUUGAGUGAUGUACCAAUUAUCUACUAUAUUAAAAUUUUAUAUGCUAUGCUAGCCAAUUUUUUUGUACUAUAUUACCUGAAAAUAGAGAAUCUCUUGCACAGCGGCAGAAGAAGGGACACCUUCAGGCCACAUUGGAAUGACAAUGUAAACUGUAAAUCUCUCAUUGGCUCGGAUCUUACUGACAAUCUUCAGUGCUAACUCGAUAGGAAUUAAGUUAUCAGCACCUGAUCAUAGAAUGGAUUAUUAGAAUUAGUAGAAAAUGUUUUAACGAGAUACUAAUAAAAAUUAUCAACAAUAUGUCAGACCUAUUAUUUGAGAUCAAUAUAAGAGGAGAGGGAAGAAAUUAAAUAUUGCAGUUAUGUUUUUAUUAAUUGCCAGUUAUGUUGUUUAUUGUUAGGAAUAAAUAAAGGAAAGGAGAAAAUGAUUAUUGGAUAGUUAUUGAGUGGUUAUGGGAGGGAGAGACCAAACUCUCUAAUACUUGGAAGGGAGAGACCAAGGGCUGGUUUGCUUGUGUUUUGAAUUUUGGUUCUUGAAAACUAUUUUAUAAAUCAAUAUUUAAAAACUACAUUUUGAGAACAAAAUUAAAAAAAAAAUCUGUUUGAUAAUUCUAUAUUUAAAAACUGUUUUAUAAAUGAGAAAAAUAAAAAAUAAAAAAUAAAAAAUUGUUUGGCAACUUUUCUAAAAAAAACAUGUAUACAUGUGCACCUUCACAAUUCUGUUCUAUUCAAGGCUAAUUUUUUCCACUUAUUUACAUAUAUGCCAUUAAUGAAAAGUGAGUUCACCUGUUUUCUUGUUUUUGAUUUUUGACUAAAAAAUGAGAAAACUAAAAACAAAAACAUUUAUAAGCAAUUUUGCUUUUUUGGUUUUUAAAAUAACAAAACAGGAGACAAUUUUGCUAUUGAAUUUUGAAAAAAAAAAAUCAUCAAACAGGUUUUCUUCUUUUAUAGUAUUUAAAAAUGGAAAACAUAUUUUGAAAACACUAUUCAAACAGGCCCCAAGACUCUCAAAUUUCUUGGAUAGCAAUUCCUUGCAACAACCCUCUCUAAUUCUCUGUAGGGAACCAAUUGUAACCAGCCUAAAUGUGUAAAUUCACAUUCUCUGUAGUGUAAGUGAUUCUGUUUUUGUAGUAAUCUUAUUCUACCAUCAACAAAGUCAGUUUCUACAAAUAAAUUCUCAUUUGGUACGAGUUUAUACCUUAUCCCAGUAGACAUCUUUGAAGGUAAAACAAAGAUUAAAAAAAAAGGACAUUUUAAGUCAUAUAGAUAUAUUGGCUAUACAAUCACAAUAUACAGCUUAGAACUAUUUUGAGUCUGUUUGCCAUUCAUCAUCAGUAUUAGGCAGUUGCUCAAACACACUGAAUAAAAGAGAAUGGCUUGGGCAGGUUUUAAGGAAAAACAACGAUAACAAAUGAAUAUUUCAAGUUAUAGAGAUAGUUUAGUCACACAAUAACAGAACGUAGCUUAUAAUUCAUCAUGGUAAUACGAAGGUGCUCAAUUGUAAUAUGUAAGCACAAGAGCACGAGCAUGGUUUUGCAAACUACAAUAUUCUGAAAUAUUCUUAAGCUAAAAGUAACAAAAAUAUGUCAUGAGCUAAUUAUGAGCAAUCACAAUUGUAAGCAAAUGCAACAAGUUACAUGAGUAAAUAUCAAUAUUCUGCCAAAACCUGCUUCUUUGUAAGAUGGCCAAGCAAAGGAUGAUCCAAUGAAGUAUUGAUUCUCGAUAUAUAUAAAAUGCUGAGCAGAUCUGAUAGCGUGUAUGUAUGCUGUUUGAAUACUCUUGUCUAUGACCAGAUUUUUAGCACAAAUAAGAUUCUGCAAUGAGUGAUUAAUAAAAUUAAUUAGUGAGUCAGCUAAUACCAAAGGCUCUAUAACAUAUACCCAUAGAUCAGCUCUUUGAUGGAUAAGUUCAUCUUAUAAAAGAUUAAAUCACCUGAGCCUCGGCUUCAUGCACAUCCUUAGGAAAUCCUUUCAAAGAGCCCGAAUCAAUGGAUCGAAAAACCUGUGAAAAACAAAAAUAAAGAAAUCAAAUUAUCUGUUAAAAAAAAAUAUAAAUUAAAUAGAAACUACACUUUAAAGACAGUGAAUUCGUAACCUGAACGUGCCAAUUUUCAGGGUCAUCUUCCUUUGAAACCCAUAAUUCAGGAUCAUCAUUUGGAAGUGAUUCAGAAGGACUGAGAAUCCAAGAGAUGCGGUCUAACUUAAUCAAAGAAUCAUCAACCCAGUGAGACACUCUUUUGAAUUUUUGACCUAAAUCAGACCAUUUGGUGGCUCUCCUCCAGCGCUGCUCAAAAUUAGUGAGUAUAUCAUAUGCAGCGGGCCCUUCAAUUUUGCAAUGUAAAUCGUGCCAUGGUUGCCUUGGACCCUUGGUUCCAGCCUAUUAUUAAAAUGGAGGAUAAAAAGAAAUUUCACUUGGUAAGAGUGACCUGGCGAUCUCAAUCUCAGUAUCAAACAAAACCUUAGGCAAUUUAUGUUUAUGAAGUAUCAGAGUAUAUGUAUCGAGUGUAUUGAAAGCUUCACCUAAGCUAUUGUAGUUACCGACUGUUAAGUUAGUUUGGGAUUAGUUGAGUUAGUUAGGCAGUCACUAAAGAUUUAACUCGUGGGUUAAAAUAUUUAACUCGUGUAUUCAGUUUAGUCUUGUAAUCAUUUCCUAAAGAUCCAAUUAAUGCAGUCAUAUUCAUUUUCUCAGAAAUUUGGUUUCUUCAGUUCUUUCAUUUAGAAGAUGUGAAGUACUAUCAAUUACACUGUCGGAAUUCUACCAUGUCAAACUUGCUGAACGCUGAUUGAUUGGAAGGGUGGUAUCCCAAAAGUUUUCUAUCUCUAAUUUAACAUGUUAACAAUUACAUAAUAAAGCAAUGUGCGGUAUAUGCAUAUUAAGACUUCAGACCAAUAAACAUUACCAGCUUUUAAACAAUGAGGGUUUUUUCACCCAUUAGGGAAGGAAACAGAAACUGGACAUGUCAUGCUAAUAAUAGGUCAUUAUGAUGUCAUUUGGAAUGUUAAUCUGAAUAAGUAUUGUUAGAAAUUAUUAACUUACAGGAAAUGUGGGAUUAUGAUAAUCAUCCUUAUAAACAGUGUCAAGAUCAUGGAAAAUUCUAUGCUCGGGUGUAUCAUACCGGCCAUCACAAAGAUCUAGACCACCUAUAAAUGCAGUUAUCUUCCGAUGGUUGCCAUGUGCUUGAGUAUCAACGAUCACACAUUUCUGAUGGUGUGUAAAAAGCGUUCCAACAACCUGAAGUUUGGUGCAACCUAAUAUAGUCAACAAGUCUUCCAAUUUUAUUUUAAAUAAAACAAUAUCUUUUCUUUCAAAAAUUCCGGUUGGGACUCACAAAAAAGACAACUAUUGAUUGCACAUUCCUUUUUUUGUUUUCAACUAUAAGGCCAUACAAAAGUAAAGGAUGGCAACCAAUCUAGUAUCAGGCUGUUGACAUUAUAAGGAUUGAGGCAAAGAAAGAGGAAUGCAUGGAUAAAAGAGAUGGUAAUAUUCUCAUAUAAUUUGAUGUGAUAUGCUGUGAUAAAAAAGACCAAGCAUUAAGCUCUACUUAUAUCAGUAGAAGAUGUUGUAUUCUUUUCUAAACUAGAGUAUCUCUCACGAGAGCUACAACAUAUUGGUUUACUGUAUUCUAAUUAAAUAUAUUGAAAAAAAAUUAUAUAAUGAAAGAUAAAAAACUAAUACUAAGACUUAAUCCAUAUCAUGAGAUAUUUUUAUAUAUUUUAACAAUAUUAAUGCGAAGAUUCACGAAGUUUAUCCUGUGCAUUGGAAUAGACCACCCCCCUCUCUCAUGUUCGAUUUUCACAUGAUCUCGUGACAUGAAAAAUUUUGUUUUUGCGUGUGAAAAUCUCAUAUGAGAGUAUCCAAUCCAUCCUGUAUGGCUGUAAAUAUAUUAAAACUAGAGUGAUAAUAUUAUGAAAGGAUGGAAAGAAUGAUAAAGUAUGCAGAACUUUGUAACAGAAACAUAAAAAGUCUAGGAAAGCUACUAAACCAUAGCAUAAAGCAUGCCUGCUGCUUGAAAAUGCUAAGCUUACUGCUGGCAUAUCGAGGCGACAACACACAUGUGACUGAAGAAUGUUUGAAAAACUUUCGAGUUUCUUCAUCAUGAGUUUGCAUUAUUCCAUUCUGCAACCAAAAUAUUCACUCGUCAGGUUCGGCAAAACUCAACAAACAGCAAAUGAAACUUGGAAGUAUGCCAAACAAAGUAAAAAUGCCCAAAGAGCCAAACAGUAUCUCUGUUCAAGCAACUUAUAUGUAUAAAACUCAUUAACAGUAAAAAAAUAAUGUAAAAUAAAGGUGGCAACAGCUGAGUGCAGACUUGUUAACAUGAAUGAAAGCAUCUGUCACCAGGUAUUUAAAUUUAGAUUGAAGAUCCAGAAUGAAGUAUAUUCCAAUUUAAAUACUGAACUUCGGUUUUAAAGAAUCAUCAAACCCUUCCUAUAAGGUACGGUUAUGGUAAUAGGAUUCAAGUAAUCAAUCACUUUUGGGCCUGUUUUGAAUGACUUAUAUGAGUUUAUCUACUGGCAUAAGCACUUGUGACUCUUUUUGAAAGAGUUUAUGUAAAUAACUUACAUCAUGUCUAUAAGUUAUUUUCGGCUAAUUUUCAUAAAUUAUUUAGGAUAGCUUAUGAAAACAGGUUUAUAUAAAAACAGCUUGACCUUAUUUAACCUUAUGUUAUAAAAAUAACUUAUACAUAACCGUUUAUAUUAUAAACUCUUAAGUGGUUUAGCCAAACAGGGCUGAUAGUGACCAUAAAAGUUUUUCCCUUUUUGGAAAAAAGGAAGUUAAUAUCAAACCACUCAAAUACAUACCAUCCUCCUUUCAAUCCUAGAAUCAUGAGCAGAAAUUCAUGAAAACCAACAUAAAAAUUAUUGAAAAAACCUAAUGAAUCUAUCAUUUUCACCUAAAUUAAAAUAAUCAGUACGAAUACAAACAAACAAAAAAACUAGAAAGUACCGUCUUAAAGAAAAAUUUGUUGUGCGAAGUUUUAUCAUCCCAAACCAACAUUAAAACUCUCAAACCUUCUUGUGAUUUGUACUUGAGUAAUUCUCCCAAAUUCAAAUUUCCACCACUAGGUAAGGGUUUGGUUGGUUCUCUAACAAGCUUCACCUUAUGGUAGAUUGACCAACCAACAAUAUAUACCAUAUGAUGCGCUUCCAAUAUCGCAUGACAAAUAUCUUCCCAACACUUCCCAUGUUGAAACUCAACGCCAUCAUCCAAUUUAAUCCCCGGCAACAUUGAAUCCGGAACAUGGGCGUCUUGAUACAGCGUCACCGCUCCUCCACGCCGAACCGGAAAAUACGAAUCCCGAACCACGAACCGAUCAGGUUCGGGCGCCAAACCGGAGCGAAACAGAGGACUAUCAUCACAUCUCGUGAAUUUCAUUUCAAGACGAACGGCGCAAUCAGGUUUUGGAGUUUUACCGCACGGACCUAUAAUCGGAAACCAAUCGCUUAUAUCUUCACCUGAUAAGAUUCUCUUAGCAGAAACGGUUGCGAUUCCGAUUAAAUCGGCACCGAACAUGUCAUUAUCUUUCACGUAGAAUUCAACUUGUGAAACAGGAUGAGCGAGAGGGAUUUUGAAAUGUUCUUCCCAUUUAGGUGAUUGCGAAUUGGAAAUAACGCGCGUGCGUGCCACCGUGGCACCGGCGAGACAAACGGUGACGUAUGGAUCGCUUGUGAUUAUCUUAUGGUGAUGAUGACGUGGCGGAUGGUUUUUACCUUUACCACCUAUAGAAGCACUGCAUGCGUUAAUAGCGGAGAAGAAUCUUCGAAAACGCUCGGAGAACAUGUCCAUGUUAGGUAGAAAACGAGCUUCAACGAUUUUUAAAUGGAGGUUACCGUGAAGGUAAAUGACGGUGGGGUCUGAUUUAUGAGUCAUUGUUGUUAUUUGUGAAUGAGAAAUUUAGAGAAGAAAUGUGAUAGGGAGCGUUGUUGUUGAAUAAUGAGGAAACGCUCACUAUCACGGGUUGCCGUUACGGAGGACUAAAGACUACAGCAUUGUUAUGAUGAUUUCUCCGGCGGAGAAAUGGAAUGGCGUUUCUGCUGUAAUCCGGUAUGAAUAAUAAUGUGAUCAAUGGAUUGCAAAAAAGGUAUUAGAGGUUAAGGUGGCGGGAGAGAAAAAGGUAGCAGGAUUAGCGUCUUGUUUUCCUUUUUUGGGUACAAAUUAGCGUCUAAUUUUGAACUUAAUUAAUUAUAAGCAUCGGUAGGUAGCGGGAAUUGGAACUGUUCUCUCAAUAUCCCUCUACAUAUUUUUUUAAAUAUAUUUUUUGUUAUUUAUGUUUUAUUUAAUAUUCUUUUAGUUCUUUAUUUUUUUAAUUUUUUUAAAUUUCUUAUAUUUUAUUUUAGUUAUUUGUUGUUUAUUUAUUAAUUGCAAUUAUUAUUUAUAUUUCACAAAAUUAUAUAAAUCUUUUUUAUUAAAGAUUAAAAUGACUUUUAUGUAAAAGAUAAAAACAAAUAAAAAUAAAUAAUUAAAAUGAAUAAAAGAUGAAUAAAUGAAAUAGAUAUUAAAUAAAAAUAAUGAAUUAAAAAUAUUAAAAUUAUAUUUUAAUCUUUUUUGAAGGUAAAUGACGGUGGGGUCUGAUUUAUGAGUCAUUGUUGUUAUUUGUGAAUGAGAAAUUUAGAGAAGAAAUGUGAUAGGGAGCGUUGUUGUUGAAUAAUGAGGAAACGCUCACUAUCACGGGUUGCCGUUACGGAGGACUAAAGACUACAGCAUUGUUAUGAUGAUUUCUCCGGCGGAGAAAUGGAAUGGCGUUUCUGCUGUAAUCCGGUAUGAAUAAUAAUGUGAUCAAUGGAUUGCAAAAAAGGUAUUAGAGGUUAAGGUGGCGGGAGAGAAAAAGGUAGCAGGAUUAGCGUCUUGUUUUCCUUUUUUGGGUACAAAUUAGCGUCUAAUUUUGAACUUAAUUAAUUAUAAGCAUCGGUAGGUAGCGGGAAUUGGAACUGUUCUCUCAAUAUCCCUCUUUAUAUUUUUUUAAAUAUAUUUUUUGUUAUUUAUGUUUUAUUUAAUAUUCUUUUAGUUCUUUAUUUUUUUAAUUUUUUUAAAUUUCUUAUAUUUUAUUUUAGUUAUUUGUUGUUUAUUUAUUAAUUGCAAUUAUUAUUUAUAUUUCACAAAAUUAUAUAAAUCUUUUUUAUUAAAGAUUAAAAUGACUUUUAUGUAAAAGAUAAAAACAAAUAAAAAUAAAUAAUUAAAAUGAAUAAAAGAUGAAUAAAUGAAAUAGAUAUUAAAUAAAAAUAAUGAAUUAAAAAUAUUAAAAUUAUAUUUUAAUCUUUUUUUAGUUAACAUAGGUUCUAAGGGAUGGGGUUACUAAUUUGAGGUUAGUUUAGAGAUCAAAUAUUCUUUUUUGGACUAGAAUUUACUCUUUUUAAUUUUAAAUAUAAGAUAAAGUAAAAUAAAAAUAAUUGAUGUAAUAUAGCUAUUUUUUUGUAUAUUUAAGAUCAUAAAAAAAUAUCCUUUUCUGAACAUAGCUUUUGUUGACUUUAUAUAUUUGAGGCACCGAUGAUAGAUCUCAAAAGUAAAAAGUCUUCCUUAAAUAUAUACGUGAAUACUUAUUAAAAAUAUUUAAAAAAUUAUUCUUUUUUCACAAAUUUUUAAUUUAUUAAUACUUUAAAGUACUUUUCGUAAAAAAACAUUAAAAUACUUGUUAUUAUUUUAGAUUAUUUUUACUUUAACUUGAUAUUUGUUAUCUUUUAACAUAGACUUAUAUCAAUAUUUUAAUACUACGUUUGUGUCUAUUAUAGUUUCAUUUUUUAAUUGUUUUGAAAUAGAUAGAAUGGGCAUUGGCAGAGUUUGACUUUUGAGUUAUAAUUUAAUACUAUAAUUUUGAUAUAAUAGUUUUGAGAUGCAAACAAUUUGAUUUUACUAUUGAUAAAUAUACUGAUCAAGAUCUUGGAAUGAGAUCUGGCGCUGGCAGCUCUGCAGCAGCCAGUCCCAGUCUGCGAGCCUGCUGGCAGCAGCAUGUUGUGGUAGGUUCCAGCCAGAGAACGAUAUAAAUGCAACGUGGACACAUCCUCCUCUCAUUGUUCGAAUUGAGUUGGUAUUAGUAUUUGUAUUUGAGAUGCGGAAGGUGCUUUUGUGAUAUCAAAAACAGUUUGGUUUCCUCACUUGGUCUCGGUUGACAUAAGAUAAGCGACAUGACUUCUCCUUGUUUUGGAUUGGGCGCAUGAACUUCAGCUAGCUCUUGUAGAUUUCGAGUUUGAUUCAAAAGGUAUUGUUGAUUUUUUCCAUAGUUCAAAGAGAUAUGUCACAGAAUUUGGUGGCAUUGUAAUUGAAGACUGUUCAGCAUCACUUUAUUUGUUAGAAACUUUGUGUUAAAUACAUUAAGAGACAAACUAUUGACAUAUUUUACUUAUCACCUUGUAAGAACGAUUUCAUCUCUUGUUAAUUUCCACAUCUUCCGUAAAUAUUUUUAUUUGUAUCCAAUAUAUUAUCAUAAAUAAUAUGCUUUAAGCAACUUUCAAUAAAAAAAAAGAUAUUGGCAUGAGAUUUUAUCAUUAACAAUAAUAGCAAGCAUGUUGCUAACUAAUGAAGUUUGGAUUUAUUUUCUUCCAAAUUUUAAAUAAUAACUACGAUUUAAUUAUGUAUGACAACUAAAUAGAUGGAAACGAAUUUUGACUAUCAGUUCCACUUAAAAAACUUACUCAUAUUCCAAACUCUAUCUAAUUUAAAUAUUAAAUAUUAAAUCUUCAUUUUCAUCUUCAAUUCAAUCGAUUUUUUCACUUUAUAGUUGCCCUCAUUCCAUAUAUUUAAAAUAAUAAAAUUUAAAACUAUAUAUAUUUAUUAUAAUAAAUAUAAUUAUUAAAAUAUUAAUUAAAAUUUCAAUUGAGAAUUAAUUUAAAUUAUAAUAUUUAAAAAUAUUAAAUAAAAAUGAAUGAAUAUAAACAUAUAUAACAUUAAAAAAAUAAUAUAAAAAUAUCAAUGAACCGAUGUGUACCAACACUCCCUCCGUGUCCCCAACUUAGAAUUUCAUACAAAAUCCACGCAUGAUCAAAUUGUCAUCUCUGAUCAUAAUACAACUCCAACCCUGAAUAUAAAAUCAAUAAUUAAAAUACUUAAUAAAAAUAAAAUUGUUAAUGAUUGAUAUUAUUUUUUUAAGUUUGUUCUUCGUAAGAGAGAAAUAGUUUAUCUUUCCAAUCCACAGUCUUUUAUAUUUAUUGUGUUAAAAAAUAGAUAAAAUAAUUGAAGACAUUUUGAUAAAAUAAAUUAUUAAUCUAAAAAUUUAAAGAGAAACCUAUAAAAAAAAUGAAAAAGUAAAUCUCAAGAGAGGUCCAUAUAAAUUUAUCAAAAAGAAAAUAUCAACUAGUAAUAAUUAAUACUAUAUAGUAUUCCAUGCAUUUCAUUAACAUAUAAGUAAUUACAUACAUACACGGCUUGCACAUCUGAUAACUGCCUCCAAAUUGUUUAGACAGCAAAAUAUGAAUGACAGCAAAAAUCAAAAUUUACUCGUGUGUCGUUGGAUCUAAAAGCCAAUACAAAUUACAAGUAAACAUGAUGCUACUAGUACGUAAUAGAAAAGGUUAUCAAAUAUUUACUUCUUGGAAUAUGCUUAUUCAACAUCUUUCUUCCUCAGGACAAAGCACCUACAUAGAGAAAGAAGGGCUCCACUUUGAGCAAUAUUCAGUAUUCACUAUCUUUUAGAUUAGGGGUCCAAUCAAGUAUGUUCAUCUAACUCAAAAUGGGAGGAACCACUCUAAGCAUCAUACUCUGAAUAAAAGAUACCAUCUGCAAUCAAAACUCGAUCAUAUAAAUAGCCAUAUGGAAACACAUGAAAAUAAAGCAAAUGGAACCAAAACAUGCUUCAAUGUUAUAAGACUAUGCAGAGUAAAACCAACAGCUUUUUGAUACAGUGCCAACUAGCUUGUAUUAAAAAAAGCACACCAACGAGUUAGAUCCAUGAUUGUAUUGUAUAAACAAGUAUAAACAGAGAGAGCAUUGAGGUUUAUAUUGCAAUUUAUCUAUUAACACGAUACUAAGGUCUAGUUGUGGAUUUUGUUGGAAGAUUACAAAAAUCCAACAUCAUAAUAUUUGAAGUAUUUGACAUGGAUAUGUGUGGCUGAGGUGGAUACCGUUUUGAAGUGUCCAUGUCAAUAUACUAUAAAGUUACUUUCAAGUUGAGUUCCUGUAUUCUGUGAGCGUAUUACCACAGUUAAGCACCAUCAGAUUCCGGCUAUUACAAUCGAUGUAUACCAAGGUAAUUCAUUUAGAUCACAAGAGAGAACUAUACAAAUAUGGAGAAAAAAAUCAACAACAUAUUGAAAAAAAAUAAACAGAUAGAGAGAAUGGAGAACUUCGAUUAAAGUUCUUACCGAAGCAAUUCCAAUACACAUUAUACUGAAGCCAGGAAAGUCAAAAGGUGCUUUUUCAGAUAGAAAGAGAGCUGAAAAUUGAGAAUAAGUGCUUGUUAAUAAUUUUAAGUGGAAGUAUGAAUCUAAUAGGACAUAAUGGCUUUUCACUCACCCGUUAAUGGAGAGAAAACCAAGGGAGAAACAAUUUGUGCAAUUGAACAUAUGCCUGAGAUGCAACCCUGAGCUCUUCCCUGAAAGUAGCAGACAAGUGAGAAAAAUAAUUUAACUGAAUAGAUUCUAAGCAGUCUAACAAGAAUAAAAAAAAAGAGAUUAAAAAGCAUUCACUCGUGCAAAACUAAGCUAUUUUGCAUCCAUUUGAAGUUGACUAAAUUUUAAUCGAUGUUUUCCUCUUAGUGUGUUUUCCGGUGCCAUUUGAAUUUGAUAUGCAUGCCAAAAAUAAUAUCAGUUGAAAAAAAGAAGAAAGAAAUCACAUGCAUUGUUUAACUCAAACAGGCCUACAUUAACAUUUCACUAUUGUCAUAAUACCGACAAAUGAAGACAACAGAUACAUCACGCAAACUACAUUCUCACAUGCCAAAUCAAUCAACAUUAUAACAACUCAUAGAGACCAACUUGUACAAUAUUAUUUAUGUAACUUUGACUUUUAUAUCUCAAACAGAACAAAAUCAAACUAAUUUAAGCCAUUUAAAUUUGACACUAUCAAUACAAACAAACAAACACAAAAUAAAUCCAAUUUAGUUGGAACCACUUCUGAAGAAUUUUAAUCUCAAUAUUUCAUUUACCAAGUUUCAUGCCAAUCAGCCAAGUUCAAGCUAGUAUACUUUCAAAAGAAACUGAUUGAUGAUGAAAUUGCAGUCAUUCCUCUUGAAUAAUCAAUGGGCUAUUUUUUUUAAAAUUGUAAGGUACUCUUUAAAUAUCAUUCACCGCAUUGCAUAACUUUUAACAAUUUCUCUAUUUAAAUUGACACCUUGCACCUGGACAAGAAAACUCAAGUUUCAUACUAUUUCAGCAGGUACUACAAAAAAAUUGCACAAGAAUGUUAAUGCACAAGUUCGGAUCCCACAUUAAAAGCUACAUGUGUUAUAAGCUAAAGCAGCAUUUAAUAAAACCUUUCUCGUACCUCAUAAAACAUUGAUGUGUAUUCAGUCCAUGAAAAAAGAACUGCCCCAAAGCAUAAGACAUUUAUGACUUCAAAUAUUCACUAACCCCGAAAAUAAAUAAGUCAAUCAAAACAAAAUCUUACUAAUAAUAUUAAUUAUCACCCAAUGAUUAGCUAAAAUGACUUGCAACUUCUUUUGAGGUGUUAUUACUAUGAAUUUCCAAUUGCUUAUUUUAACACCUACUGUUUAUUAAUUAUAUAGAUUAUAAUCAACAUAACUAACAUUUAUAAGUCUGCAGAUUAAGUAAAAUUUCAGAUUUGUAACUAGAAUCCAUCCCUUCAUAUUGUGAAACCUUACAACAGCAAUAGUAACGUUUUCUUGCUAGGUGCAAUCGGCUAUAUAGAUCAUUACACUUCCAAAUUUGUAAAUCAUGUUUAUACAUAUACUGUUUAAAUUUAAAUCCCCUUGAAUGAUUUGACCAAUAGUUUCUCUUAAUCUCAUUUGAACUCUAUAUUACAGUAUGCACUAAUAUCCACCAUUCAAUCUACUCUUGGGCCUUUUACAUGUCUUCUCCAUGUAUGCACAAAUAUUCUAAGACAAGAUUAUAAUACCUUUUUCCAAAAUAGACAUUAUCCUAACUUUCUCUUAAUGAAUUUUUUUGCAAGUCUAUAUUUGCUUAGUAUCUUCUCCAAAAUAAUGCUUGAAUUAACCUACCUCUACAACAUCCAAAAUAUUACCACUUUACCGGUGUCCAGUACUAUUAACAUGAUAUGCCUUGAUGUUUAUUGUAAGGGCUUUCUUUUAUUAUAUGAAAUAUCUUUUCGUGCCAAAAUUGAAAAUAAAAAUGAUACCUGCUCAUGGGGAUCAACUUGUUUAGACACAAUACUUCGUAUCUACAAAAUGAAAAAGUAAAUUACUCAAUUAUGUUCUGAACAAAUAACUCAUUGUUGGUCAAAGGGGAAAAUCUAUUUAAAGGAUAAUAAAAAAGAGGAAACAAACUCACACAUGGCUGAGAAAAAACAAACAAAAUUGAGAACAUUGCAGCAGCAUAAGGGACCUGUCAGCAUGUACACCUUAGCAGUUAAUACAACAAAAAAAGAGAAGACACAAGUGAAAAGGGAUACUAGAAACAUACAUAGGCAAAAAUAAUCAAAUAAAGUAUGCAAGUUUCACUUAUAAUUUACUACAUACUAAACAAUACUUAACAGAGAUAAACUUGUAACUAGCAAUAGAGUAGCAAAAGACAUACCCAGGAGGACCAUGCUAUGCUGUAAAGGAACAUCUGCAUUCAAUUUAAUAUUACUAAAUUAGAACUUUAAGUGCGUAUUUUCAAAUAAUUUCACAAAAGGCAAAACGCUUACAUGUACACAGUGAAAAAAUAGUCCAAUCGAAAGAAGCCUUGCCUCACCCAAAGUAGGGGCAAAAAUAGGCAUGAGAAGAAGCUGUGAUCAUCAAUGUUCAAUAUUUAUAUUUACCAUAAAAUCAAAGAAACUAAAUAUUUGUACAGGACAAAGGCAAACUAAAUACAGUUGGCACUUGACAACUAAAAUAAAGCCUUGCAAAAAUUACCUGUGACACAGUCCCUGCAAUACCAGAAAUGACCAUUAAGUCAGCAAAAUGAUUCUUAUCAAAAUGAAACCGAGCCUUUAAGUAAUACUGCGCAAAAAGAAUAAAGGGUUAUUGCAGACUAAAUUUGACUUGAUAGUUCUAAUCAUGUAAAAACAGUUUUAUCAUGAACUUGUAAAAGAGUAAAUAUAAUAACACAUUUCAUAAGGACAUGGAUCCUCCACAACGAAAAAGGUAAGAGACAUAAGAAAUUGAACAAUGGUAAAUUGUUAGUUAAAGAUAUUGAGAAGUUUAUAGCACAAUAUGGCUAUAAACAGACAAGAGAGAUCUAAUGGUUGAAGAUACAUAAAUACAAUAAGCUUGGAUAUUGGAUACAUUGGGUUGAACAGGGAAGUUGGGUUAUUAUCGUGAAUUAAUGAUAACAACCCAAAUAAUAUGAAUAAGCAUCACUUUAUGCUCCAACAACAACAUUGAACCAUAACCAUUUACCAACACUAAAGCUCAAAAAUCAAAAGAAAUCGAGGUAAUAAAAUAUAUGAUAACAAAACUAUAUGAUAAAACUCGAACAUGUUACAAAACUUUAAAGAAUAAGAAGGGAGAAAAUCAGAAAAUACCAUCAUUGAACCAUGAAGGCCAACAUCUGCAAGGUUGCUGAAGAAUGCAACAAUUGCUGCUUGGGUUAUAGUCAAGCUGCAAAUUGAAGUACACAUGUACAGUUAUCAUGACAUACAUAAACUAAAAUAUUUAUUCAUAAAGAUGUGAUAAUUGUUCUACAAACAUCAAAUCGGCAAUACUUAAUAUUCAACUUGCAUACAUUUAUCUUCAUGAUAGUCAAUGUAUAGAAGAGGUUUGAUUCCAAGCAUAUCACAUGUAAUUUGGAAAAACUAGUUAGUAAUUACACAAUUUUUUGUUGCAUAGUUACACGAAUCUCAUUUCAUAGUAACAAUGUACAGGCCUCUAAUAUGGUCUUGGUCAAUGGUGAACCUCAUCAAAUCAACUUGCUACCACAGGUUUUAUCUGUGUUUCUAUCAAUUUGCAACAAUGUUAAGCUUUCUAAAUACCAACAAAAAAUUGGAUUAACUUGUUAUGCCAAGGUAACCUCAAGGGUCCACCUUUAAACCUUUUUUAAAGAGUAAGUUUGAACGGAGUAUUUUGGAGGGAAGGAUUUAUUUUUCUUUUCUUAAUUAAGAAAGCUAUGUUUCUAAAAUUAAAUUGUGAUUAAAAUAAUAUCCGAUCAUCUAUAAUGUUUUUACACCAAAAUAUAUAUUAAACCCUCCAAAACCCUCAAUAGUUGUCCUAUAAGUACAGUUCAAUUGAUAGCUGUAACGACAUGUAACGACAUUGAUAUGUAAGAGUCUGGACUCGACCUCAGGAUUCCUUCCACAUUAAGGUGCGUGAGUCUAGUUUCUAGAGUAGAGAGUUUGGCCACACAAAAAAACUCAAUAGCUAAAAUGAAGUUAUGGUAAAUUCUAUUGUUUGUUUAAAUACUUAUUCCAAUCUAUAAUGCAUUAGUGCAAAACAUGCAAAUAAAAUUUAUUCCAAAAAAAAAAAGGAGAAGGCUGAGAAGUUUACGAACAAAAAUUGCCACACCUACUAUUAAGGAAUGAAGUUAGAUCCUGCAAAGAACGCAACGCAUUCAACAAUUGCAUAUUGCUUUUCGAUUUUGCAAUGAUUUUAGAAGUUGAAGGCUCUCCCUCUGAAAUGAUUGGUGUACAGAGGCGAUGAUUUCCAUCGAUGACUGAAUCCCGAAGGAAAAUUUGCAUGUACACUGCUCCGAUCACCGCAACAAAAGUGGAAACCUUAUUAUUGAAAGAGAAAAACACAAUUGAUUAAAAAGAAAUUAAUUCGGAAUUAGUGGUAAUUAGAUAGAGAAAGAAGCAUUAAUUAAAGAAAAUCACCUGAAAAGUUUGAGCAGUGGAUAGAAAACGAGCUGCUAGGGUCCCACAGACGAAUGCAGAAGAUCCUAUUCCUGAAAGAAUUCCAAACGCAGAGCUUCGUCUACCUUCUGGAACGUUAUCUGCCUAAGUAUAUAUAUUAAAAAAAAAAAAGUGAUUGAAAUGAGAAAUAGUAUUAUAGUAUAGUAUAGUAUAGUAUAUAAAUAGAAUUUCUGACUAGUAUUUAUAUUUGAAGAAAUAGAAAAUUGUGACUUACGACGUAAGCUAGAGCGAGGCAAGGAACGCAACCAUCGCAAAUCAUGUUAAUGAGUAUCUUAAAUACGUAGUAGAUGUAGAAGAAUGUUUUCGUCCUGCUGUAAGCUAAUAUGCCUGUAUCAAAUCAUUUCAUAGUUAGGGUGCAUUACAAUUAUUCUUUUUAGGUUGUUUCUAUAUAAAAAUAUCACAUUCAAUUAAAAGUACCUAAGGGGAUAAUCAUGAGGCUCAUAGGGACCGUGAGAAUGGCCUUCCUCCCAUACUUAUCUGAGAGAUUACCCAAGAGUGGCAUCAUCACAAGUGUUCCCACUCCUAUUAUCUGCACAAAUCACAUAUUUAUUCACCCAUACUUCAAAUUAUGAUGCAUGUAGUUAAAAUUUUAAUUUAAUUAUAUCAACUUUUUAAUUUUAGUUAUAUUUCAUUUUUAAAUAAAGAUUUCAUUUAUAUACAUCAUUACAGAGUCAAUCAAUUAUGAUCAAUAAAUUAAUUAAAAUAAUUUAUUUUUAAUAUAAUUACUUUUAAAAUUUUACACAUUAUUAAUUAUAAUAUGAACAUAAAAAAUGAAUAAUGUGCACGUGAAUACAUGUUAAACUUUUGGCAUUGCAACCAUUUUUUUAUGCAAUUUUGACUUUUGACUAAAACACUUACUAUUUUUGUGUAACGUAAUCAGAAGACCAAACAAAACAUACUAAUAUUUUAUUUUAUAGAUAAAUAUUAGUAUUUAGUUUGUAACAGAUUGAAUCAUGAUUAUAUAUCCCCAUGUUAAAAUUAAAACUGAUACUAUUAUUUUAAAUUAUUAAUUAAAGUAUCAACAAGAUAAAAAAAUAUACUACUACAUUUCUUCUUUUUUUGUCUAAUUAUUUCUUCUCCACAUAUGAUUUUUUUGUUGUCAAAAUACUCCAUAGAUAUAUAGUUGGAAUUUUUGUAAAGUGAAUCGAGUAGUCAUUUUAUAUUUGCUUCAGCUUAGUAACAUUUGUGCUUAAUAGAAUUAUAUAUCUAUUUAUAAUUGUGAAUUUCUUCUCUCAUCCCAUGUUUUUUUCAAAACUCACCAAUUUUUAUUUGUAUUGGUUAAUUUAAAAAUUUAUUUUAUUUAAAUUGACCGAUCUAUAUUAUUCGAGUGCAUGGGAAAGUAGAAGAAGAAAACACAUUUACAUUUUGAUAUUUCCAUGGGCCCGAUACAAGUCGGACACUACCUACGCUUGAUCCAAUAAGUAGCUCAGUUUUAACAGUCCAUUUUGACCGGAAACUAGCAACAGAAAGCAGAACAAAAUUGCCUCGUAGACCCCACAAAUUAUAUUCUAAACCCUCCCCUAAAAAACUCCAAGAAUUACCCAAUUUUCUUUAUUAUUAGAGAUGAAAAUAUAAUCUGCAUCUGCGGAUAUCCACCUAAAUCUAUUUGAUUUAGGUGGGAAAAAUCUAUUUUGAUAGGGUGGACGGGUUUGGGGUGAUGAUAUUCACCCCGCACUUGCACCCGAACUCGUCCCGCAACUAAUAUUAUAGUAACUUUUUUUAAUUUUCUAUACAUAUACAUACUAAAUAUACUUAAUAUUUUUUAAAAUAUUAAAAAUUAUAAUUUUAUCUCUAUAGAAAAUAAUUUUUUAUUUUAUUAUUAUCUAAUAAUAAUUAUUUUAUUAUAUUAAUUAUAACAGAUAUAAUUUUUAAAUUUAUAAUUUUAUAUAUAUAAAUGGAUGCGGGUAUGGGCGGAGAAACUCAAACCUCAUUGCGGACGGGGAUGGAGGAUUAAAUUCCACACCUGCUAUGAAACGAAUGCGGGUGCGGCUUUUCUUCGAUUAGUCGGGUGCAGAGGUGGAGGAGACAAAAUAUGUCCCCAACCCGCUCUGUUGUCGUGCCUAUUUAAAGAUAUAUUCGAUUAUUUAUUUAAAAAUUUCAAAAUAAAUAAACUUUUAAGUAUGUUAACAUUUUUAAAUAAGUAAUCAAAUAUAUCUUUAAAUAGUUUAACGAGAUAAUAUGUCAAUGAAAUUAAGUUAUGUUUUGAUAUUUAACAUGACAUUUAAAAAAAAAUAUUAUUUUAUAUACAUCCUACUUCUAUUAUAUUUUAUAAUAAUACUUUUAUAUACGUCAAAAACUAAAUUACUAAAAGUUGAAUAUCUAACAAAUAAAUAAAAAUUUAAUAUAAUAAUUAUAAUAAAAAAAUAUUAUUUAUAUUUAUUUAAAUAGAUCGAUCUAUAUUUAAAAAACUUAUUAUAUGAGAUAUAAUCAAACUUUUUAAUUAGACUUUGUCCGAAAUUUUAGUGUAUGUGUGUUUAAAAGAAAAUUUUAGUUUCACAUAAAUCUAAUUUCGAAUUUAAAUUUAAAACAUAUUAUCCAUUUUAACAUCAAUUGAACUAACCGAAAGUAUUUAUUGGAUUGAUAGAAUGGAAUUUUUUACCGUAAGUAUUAAAACACUAGAUAAAAGCUCCUAUAUUAUUAUUGCUAAGAAAGAAGUUUCCGUUUGUGUACUCUUUUGUCUCUUGUAUGUGAAAUAUUUUUAGCCCACUAUUGUCUGCUAUUGACAAAGGACAUAGAAGAGUUGUCCAUCCAAAUAAAACCACAUGAGAACACAUAAGAAGACAAUAAAAUCAAUAAAGAUAGAAAAACCACGAACACUCGAGGAAAAAGCAAAGCUAUAAAUCACACACAAACGUCCAAGUAGUGGGCCAACAUAAGUCAGUUUUAAGUUAAUGAAAAUGAGAGCCAAAUUAAUUGAUUUGAUGAGAGCCAAAUUAAGACUACGAAACUAGAAGGAAAGUUCUUUGGUUGUGUAGGGACAAAUUUACCUAAACAGGCAAAAGGACGUGAUAACUCAUAAAGUUUGCUUUUUAUUUUCCUCAAUCAAUUAAUGGGGUUAUUUUUGUAGGACCAAACCUAUAAAAUAAUCAUUGCUAAUUAAUUUCACUAAUUUGGUACCACAAAGGAGCGGGAAUUAAACCAUUCUUUGAUUAUAUUUUUUCAAAAACACAAUUUAAGUAAUUUUAAAAAUCAUAGUAUUUGAUAUAUACUAAUACCAAUCAUUAGCAACUAACACUAAAUGUAUGUUUUUGACAUAAUUUGUUUUGAUAAUAAUCAUAUCAUUUAUUUUCUUAUGAAAAGUUAGUUAAUUUGAAAAUUAUGGUUUUCUUUCCAAAUUGUCACUGAGGUUUGAUUUUAUAUAAAAUUACAAUUUUAUAUUCUAAUUUUAUUACGAUAAAGAAAAAUUAGGAAAAUUUUGAUAUUUUAUAUUAUAAUUUUUACCGAUAAUAAUCAAAUUUUAAUAUUUUCUUUCAAAAACAUCACAGGCUUAAUUUUGUACGAAAUCAUAAUUUUAUAUCUUUGCUUUAUUAAUUAUGAAAAGGAAAAAUGAAAAUUAACGCUCCAUUAGAAAAACAUUUCUUAUUAUAUAUUUGUUGUACAAUGUAUAUCUGAAUUUUUUUAAUACUUUCAUCAAUAAUUGAAUUGAAUAAAAACUCAAUUUCACUAACAAUCUCUAUAUGAAUUCAAUUGUAAACAAAACUCCAUAUAAAGAGACCCUUAGUUGCAUCUUUACAUAUGAAUAAUGAAUAAAGGUGAAAUUACUUACGGUCAAAAUAAAUAAAUAAAACUACAAUAUCAAACAUCGCCACUCAUGAUCAUUUAUCUAUUCUACGACAACUUAAUUAAGAUGACAUGAAAUGCAGUUACUUAAAAGUAAUUGUGUAUCACCUUCCCUUUGUUAAAACUUCAUAAAAAAGAUUAUUUGUUAGUUGUUCCUAACUUUGUUUUUUAUUUUAAUAGAUAAAAAUAUAUAUUGUAAAUAAACAAGUUCAGAUUCUCAAAAAUAAUAAAGGAAAGGGAACAUAGUUCAUCAUAUAAAAUGAUUAAAGUAUCUAAGAAAUGACACAACACAUGCAAUUUAGUGAAGUAUAUAACAAGAAACACAAAAUCAUAUAUAAAGCAUAAAAUGAAUGAGUGAAGAGAAUAUUAUUUGUAUAAUUGAUAUAUUGAUGAAAGUAAUAAUUACCGCUUGUUGAAAACCAGUGAGGUAGAUGGCAAUUGAGCAUUCAUCUUGUCCAGGACAAAGUGCAGCCAUUGUGACAUCGGUGAUAGCUGGAUGCACCAUGAAUGUGGAGAAGUUAUGGAGAAACACAGUCAUGAAGAGAUGGCUCAAACCAUACAAAUUCAAUUUCUCCAUAAUUAUAUUCUUUGUGUGUGUCUUGCAUGGAAAGCCACCACCCUCAAUAUAUAUAUAACUCCAUCGAUACAAUAUUCACUUUCUUUUUAAUUAUAUUCACUUAUAAGCGCCAUAUUUUAAUUUUUAUUUAUUUAUAUUAUACAUUAAUAAUGUAAUUAGUAUAUGUGUACGGGGCCUCCAGCCAAAUCAUAAGUGUAGUGUACUCAUGCGAUUGCUUUACGUGAUAUCUCGCCACUGCGCAUGUUAAUUUAUUUAUUUUUAUUUAUUUAUCGUCUUAAUCCGUGCUAUUUAAGUGAAUUUUAAUUUGAGUCUUUCAAUUUUAUUAAUUUCAUUCACACCAUUUGAGAUUUCUUUGGUUUUAUUCUUUAAAAAUAAAAUAUGUAAAAUAUUAAGAUUAAGCAUGUAAGAGAAUAAUUUUUAUAUUGAUUAAAUGAGAAAAAUAAUUACAAUAAUAAAUAAAGUUUAUAUAUUUAAAUUUGAAUAAUUAAUUUCUAAGUAGAGUAACUAAUUUAUAAUUAAAACAUAACUAAAGUAACUAAUUUAUACUUCACUUGAGCAUCUCACCAUCACUCUGUUUAGACGAAAAAUUAAAAUCAAAGAAUUUCAAAUGAUGAGAAUGAAACCUAAAGAAAAAAAAAUAAAGGACUCAAAUAAAAAUGUGCUAAAAAAUGAUCAGGACUAAAACCAUAAAUAACUCAAAGUGUGUGUCAAUCUUAGGAUAAACUCGCACAAACUAAGUAUUGACACAAUGGAAGCAUAGUUUAAAUAUUGUUCAAAUAUAGUUGAAUUCGUCAGACUAACUUAUUUUACCUGAUAUUUUAAGUGGAGUUACUGAAGAUUUGAACAUGUUUACCUAAGUUGGUAUGUCCAGUUUAACCCACUAAAAUAAUAGGUCGAGCACGAGGGCGGAUUAGCUCGUUUAGUUGCAACACAUAACCUAUUUUUUUAUUAAUUCAAUCAACCUUAAAUUAUCCCAUCGAUUUAUCCAAUUCAAUUAAAAAUCUCAACUCAAAUUAAAAGCUACGAAUAAAGAUAUGAGUUUUACAUAUAAGGACAAAAAGAAUUGAACUAUAUAGCCUUAAUGAGUGCGUUAAUACAUUAUGAAGGUGAGAAUAUAUAUUUUCAUAUUGUUAAAGGAGAGCUAGAUUCUAUAGUAUAAACUAUAAUACAUUUCUUUAAUUUUAUACUUUUUUAUUUAUAAUUAAUAUUCAGUAACAAUAAGUAGAAUAUAAUAAAUAAAAAAUUGGAUUGUUUAAUAUUAAUGAAUUUAUUUUGAGACUUUUUAUAGUAGGUAUUGAUGACUUUUUUGAAAUUUAGCUUUGCUAAUUAAUUGUGGUUAUAUUUAAUAUUUUAAUUUUUAAUUUUUAAAUUAACCCACAAAUCCAACACAGUACCGAGUAAUAUUUUCAACUCGACCACCUUAAUUAGUUUACUUUAUCUCGCUUUUUAACAGACUAAUUACAGACUAAAUAGCAUUUUUCAGUUUACUUUACCGUUUUAUGUGAAACAACUUCGUCAUCUUUAACUUAAAAUCAGUAAUGAUUUAAUAAAAAAAUAAAAAGCAGUCGUGGUAAAGAUUUUUAGCCACAGAGCUGAACCACACAAUUUUUUGUUAAGUGUAUUAUGCGUAGCUUCUAAGCUAAGAUAAUGCAGAUAGCUUUAUUAAAACAAAACAAAACAAAAUAGAUAAUACAAACUGCCACUUACGUCUUGAAGCGUACAAGUCUUCAACUUCAAUUGGUAAUACGACAAUGUCCAAUUGGCCCAAGGCCCAAGCUCAAUGUCUGCAGAGAACUUUUGAGACCUAAGCUUAAAAAAUAAAAUAAAAUGGAGACUCAAUGCGGCAUAAUUUCGUUCAUAUAAUAGUUCUGUUCCUUUUAAUAUUUAAAUAUAUAAAUUAAAUUAAAUAUUUUAAAAUUCAUUAAAAGUAUUUUUGUAAUGCAAAAGACUAGCACGCAUUAAUACAUUUACACUAUAAAUAAAUAUCUUACAAAAUAACAUAUAUUAUUUGUAGUAUGAUAUUAGAUCACUUAACAUUUAAUCAUUUCAUAUUUAUAUUGACACUUAUCUAAUAAAUUAAUUAUUUAUUGUGAUACUAAUUUCUUAAAAAAUAUUUAUUUUCAAAUACAACAAAUAAAAAUAGCACUUUUCAAACAUAUUCUACAUUCUUUUCAAAUAUACUCAUAAUUUAAAUUGAAUACUUUCUAUUUCGAAAGAAAAACAUUGAAUAUUUUCUAACAACAAUGUUGUUAAUUUGCAUUCAAACAAAUAAAUGAAGUGGAUUUUUUUUUGCUCUGCGACUAAAUACACCCAAAAAUAAUCAUUAAUCACAUGCACCAAAUGUUGUUAUGUUUUUUCUUAUACUUGCAGUUGCAGGAGGUGUUGAUGAUCACCCUUCAAUUCUAUAGUAAUUUUAUUUUGCAUUAUUUUUAUUUAUUUUUACAUUAAUAUGUAAUUCUAUUAUAAAAUUUUGAUCAAUUUCUAUUACACUUUCAUAUUUUUAAAUUAAAUCAGAGUUGUAAGUAAUAGAAAUUUGAAAUUAUCUUGAAAAAUAUAUCAAUACAUAAUAACAAUAGACACUAAUGAUCAACAUUAUUGUGGUAAUGUCUUUCACAAUAGAUUGUUUAUUUUUAAAAUUUUACAAAUUAUGAAACUUAUAUAAAAAGAAAUUAUGAUAGUAUUUAACAUAUUAUUUUUUGCUUCUGUCAAAAACACAUUUUUUUCAUUAACUAUUUUUGAUUCAAUGUCUCUCCUUUAAACUUCAAUUUAAUAAUCAACAUCUCAAGUUUUUCUAAUACAUGGAUAUCCAUGAUAAUACUAAAAGACACAGUAUGAAACGUCACCCAAAAAAAUUCAAACUACAUUGAGUAUGUGAUGUCUACUCAAUAGUUAUCUACACCAAUCCAAAAACAUAUUAACAUAUAUUUUCGGCAUUAUCUUUAUUUUAUUUUAGCUUUACCUACUUAAAUUGUUAGCAUGAUUUGUAUAUAUUCAUACAUUUUAUUUUAUUCAUAUCUUGCCUUAAUUUUUAUUAUGUCACACUUUGUGAUUCAAUACAUAUAUUUUCUAAUUGUUUAGCAUUAAUGAUCAUUAAUAUAUAUAUAUAUAUAUAUAUAUAUUCUCUCUAAUUCUUCUAAUUAUAUAUAAGGAUGAGAAUAAGCUAUGUCGUCCGUCAGAGGCAUAUGAUCUGGCCUACUUAUGACCUAACCUGACCUAACAUAUUUAAUGAUCAGGCUUAGGCUUAUAAAAAAGUCUAUUAUGCCUCACAGAUCGACUUAUAUAUUUUUUAUUAUUUAUUAAUGUUAUUUUUUAUUAUUAUAAUAAUAAUAUUAUUUUCUAUUUUAAAUUCUAUCAAUUAGGCAAUCACUCAGUAGUCAUUUCAUAUUCGGUAGUCGUUCCAUAUUUGUUAGUCGUUCCAUAUUCGGUAGUCAUUCAAUUAGUCAAUCACUCAGUAGUCUUUCCAUAUUUGUUUGAGAGGUAAUAAUGAGUGUGUUUGCUUCAGAAAAAAAAAAUCUAUUAUUUAAAAACAAAAAUUAUGUUUUAGGGUUUAAAGGAUGUUUGUUUUAGAUUUUUUUAAAAUUAUUUUGUUAGAAAACUUAUUUUUGGUUUAAUAUAUAUAGAUAUGUACAUUGAUAUUGGUAUGUGGAGAGCAUCACGUGAUAUGAGUAGAGCAUUUAAAUAUUUUAAUAUGAAUAAGACUUUUAAAUAUGCUUUCAGGCCAGACAAAAAUAAAAACCUAUGAUAGGCCGUAGGUCAGGGUCAGACUUAAAAAAUUAUACGUAGGCCAGACUCAGAUUUUUUAAAGUCUGAUCUGGUCUCACCUAUUCUCACCUCUAAUUGUGUGCGUAUCACACACACUUUGCAACCAGUUAAAUGUUUCUUUUUUAUGUCAAUCUUCAUUAUUAUGAUAAUUAAUUGUUAUAAAAAUAUAAAUAUUGUAAAUUAGUUAUUCAAUUAACAAUUUAUUAUUUGUCCAAAAAAAAAAACAUUUGAUUUAAAUUAAUUCGUUAUCAAAAUAGACAUCUAAAAUAUAUCUCAUGUAAAGGUCAUCUAAAUAUUAUUGUUGCAUUAUGGAGCCUAUUCAUUUUAUUUUUGUCUUAAAAGAGAUAUCAAUAUGAUCAUAAUUAAUUAACAUGACUCUCAGAUUCUGGUUUAAAUUCAAAACAUGAAGUCAAACCUAACAAUGUCGACAUAUAUCACUUGAAUUAUGACUUAAACACAUUAUUCAAGACUACUAAGUGAUAUUAGAUUUUAGUAUAAAAAGUAUAAAUGCAACCUAAAAAAUAGUGUCAAGUGUUGUGAACAAAUUAAACUUAAACUAAAAGCAAAAAAAUUACUAGUUUAAAUUUAUAAUCUAUGCAUACACUAUAAACAAAAUCCGUGCAUCAAAUAAAUAGUACAUGUAACAUCAUUAUUUGUAAUAGAUGAUUAAUUAUGUUUUAAUUAUUUGAAAAUAUCUCAACAACCAAAAAACCACUUAGCUUAAUUUUAUUGUCAAUGGCAUUUUCUAUUGAAUUAUUAUAAUAUGCAUUUUAAAAUUAAAACACAACAUAUAAAAAAUAAAAACUCAACCACAACACUAAUAUUUUAUCAAAUACUAUACUGAUAUUGAUUGUAUGUUCAAAUUUUGAAUUAAGAAUUUAAAUUAGUGUAUAAAUAUAUUGUUUUCUUUGCAUUUAUUACUAUAGAAUAUGGUAUUUACGAUCUUCAAAAUAUCAUUUAAUCACCAUAGAAUUAAUAGAGUAUACGUGACACUUACAAACGUCAUUAAAACUUUAAUGAUAUAAUCGGCUAUUACUACAAAAUGCACUUAUAAUUGAUAUUUAUUAAAAUGACAUAUUCCAACUAAGACAAAAAUAAAUAAUAAUGUGACAUAUUUCAAACAUAUUAUUACUAUAGUAUAUAAAAUUAAACACAAUAUUGUAACAAAUAUUAUUCUAAUUUGACAGAUGUAAUUGUCAAAUUAAACACAAUCCUGAAAUGGAAAUUUAUAUUAUUUGACAAUUUAAUUUUAAAUUUUAAAUUUCUUAAAUAUCAAUUAUGGCUUUCCAAAACGAUUGUUUUUGGGUACACACGCAUCAUAAUAAUAUUUAUGGUUAUCUAAAACAAUUUUUUUAGUAAAAAAAUCGACAUUUUUUUAAGAAAUCUAAAACAUAUAACUAUUACACUAAUUAUUAUUAUUAUUAUUAUUUUUCAUUUCAAUGCACUCUUAAUAAUUUAUUUAUAAAACACGCUCUAAUUGACAUAUAUUAAUAGCAACAUAUUCCUUGCUUAUAUAAAUAAGAAUAACUUAUAAACGGAAAUAAUAUGUCAAACGUAAUACUGAGAAUUUAAAAUAGAAAUAUUUAUAAAUGGUUUCAAUCAGAUUUGUUUCCUAAUCAAGGUUUCAAUCAGAUUUGUUUCCUAAUCAAAACUAUUAGCGAAAGCACGUAAAUCAGUGGGCAAUCCGUUUUAUGCUCGUUUUAUUUUAUUUUGUAUUCUUCUUUAAUAUGGGCUUGCUUUGUUUCAUGUUCACUCAUUCCACUAUAUUUUAUUGAUUAUUUUCUUGUGAAUAACAAUUUUAACAAUAAUUUUAUUUUUUAUUUUUAGGUAUACGACGGAUGUAAAAAUAUUAUAUGUGAUAUUGAAGAUCAAAAUGGAGAACAUAAGCUUUUGAAAAUUACUUUGUAGCUAAAUAUAAAAAAUGAAAUAUGAUAUAUUUAUUCGAUGUUAUCAUUUUCAAUAAAAAAAAAAAUGAAACAUAAUAUAUUUAUAUGUACAAAAAUAUAAUUUACUUUUACUAUAUUGAUGCAAAUCCAAACUUUUUUUAAGCAGUCAAAUAUAUUGAAUGAUUAUUUAGACUAUAAAAGUGAACCAAAUAAAAACAACAUACAAAGAUUAAGAGUAUAAAAAUGAACCAAAUAAAAGCAACACAAAAGAGUUUAAGGUCUCAAAUACUGAGCCUUCGUUGAAUGGAUACGGAUACAAUAUCAGUACAAGCAUGGGAUACAUGAUUUAUAAAAAACACUUAAAUACAUGUAUGUUAAAGAUAUACGAGAAAAUAUUUAUGUUUGUACAAGAAAUGUAUUUCAUAAUUAUCAGAUUUCAUAAGUAUAAUAUCUAAUAAUAAUAUACAAAGAAUGUCUUUCAUUGUUUACUACUUCAUAAAUAAAAAUAGAAUUAAAUUAUAUAUAUAUAUAUAUAUAUAACCUAUAAAAUUAAGAUAGAAAGAUGGUAUUUACAUAAUAAAAAUUGGGACAAUUCCUUAAAAAAUGUAGUUGGAAAAUUUAUAAUCUUUAUAUACAUAAAUAUAAGCAAAAAAAAAAUUAAAAUGUAUUUGUUCAAAUACAUCUUGCAUUUAUUAAAAUUUGACUUUCGGAUUUAAAAUAUAGUAAAAAAUAGAAGAAAAAGAUAAACGGUAUAAUACAAAAAGUACUCUUGUGAAGUACCUUGAACGUAAUACUUUAAAUAAUAAGUCUUAAUUACAAUUUUAGUUUUCUUAUUUUUACUCAUUCACGAAAUUGGUCCAACUAUUUUAAAAGUCAAUAAUUUUUAUCUCUGUUAUUUAUUUUUUAGCUAAAAAAUAAUGACAUGUGAUAUUUUUAAAUAACGUGACAUAUGAUACAAUAAUGUAAAAUGAUUAAUACCCAUGAAAUUAAAAUAAUUAAAACGCAAAAAAAAAAUAUAGUUUUCAACUUCAUAAAUUUUUCAUAUUUUUAAUUUAAUUAAUGAUAUAGAAAUAAUUAAUGCAAUUAAACCACAUAAUAAUUAUAUAGUACAAUUAAUAUUUGUGUACUACAAAUCAUUUUUUUGGUUUUAUAUACAUAGUACUUUCCUUUCAAUUUUAUUAAAUUUAUGUUACCAUUUUUUACCCACUAAAAGUUUAUUAGCAUAGACUUUCAAUUUUGCUUGUCACUAUAAUGACUCAAAAAAUCUACAUUUUCCACAAAUAUAAUGAAAUAUUGCAGGUGAAACUUUUAAAAGUAUUAUGAGUUUAAUGUUUUUUUAACAAGCUAUUCAUGAAUGCAAUUUUUUUUUUUGAAAAAAUCUUAUGUUGCUAUUUUGAUUUAAUGGUUUGUAUAAUUGAUUUCUAUUUUAAAAUCUAUUUAUCUUUUAAUUGUUCCGUUCUUAUAUGUCAAUCUUUUAGAUAGUUAACUAAUAUUAUAUAUUUGGUUUAAUUGGAAUGUGCAUCAAUUACAAUUAAUUAUUUUAAUUGCCAACUAAUACUUAAUUUUAUAUGCAAUAUCUAUAUACUCUGGGAUUAAAUUUAGUCUCAAUUUUUUUUUUUUACUAUUUUGCUUUUAGACUUAAAGAAAAAAGUUGUCAACUUUUAGUUCUUAAAAUUUUGUUUUCAUUUUCUGUCCUUGAUUUUAUGUCAACUAUUGUAUAUUUUUUUGAAUUUUUUAUUAAUGUUUAAGGCAUUAUUAAAAAAUUUCCUACACAAAUUUAGAAUUUUUUUAAUAAACGAAAAAACUAAAUAUGAAUUGUUAAGUACGAAAAGCUUAAAAAUUCUUAUUUAAAUCAUCAUUUGUGGAGAAAUUUUAAAUUUUGUGCAAGCAAGUUGUUAAACAUGUAUUAAAUAUUAGUACAAACUAUCAUUCUAAAAUUAAAAGGAUACACAAUAGUUGGUUUAAAAUUAGAAACCUAAAAUGAAAAUAAAAAUUUUAAAGGCACUAAAAUUAGAUGAUUUUUUUUGCAAAGACUAAAAACAAAAUAGUGAUAUUUUAUAGAGACUAAAAACUUAUUUUACUUUAUAUUUUAUAAAAGAAAAUUAUAGAAAAGAGCAUUAAAUAAAUAAACUAUUUAACAUCUAUUUGAUUGUGACAUUUCUAUGAUAAAUAAAAUAGUAAAAUUUUAAAGGGGUUAUGUGGUGUUUUUCUAUUUGGUAGAACAACUAUCUAAUAUUUUGGUGGUGUUUAUAAUUUGCUAAAAUUUUUUGGGUUUAAAUCUCUCAAUUUUAUAGGGUAUAUAUGUCAUAUAAAUUUUAUAAAAUUUUAAUACUAUUUGAUACUUAGUUUAAUUCAUCAUAUACUAUACUUUCUAAAAUACAAGUAAAACAUUAACUAUAAAAUUUUAUAGUUACACAUAUUCAUUUUUUGUAAUUUUUGGUAUGCAUAGUUGUUAAGAUAAUAUAAAAUAUUAAACAAAUAGAUUCAUAAAAUUUAAUGUCUAUAAAUAGUUAGUAGUGGAGUAACUCAAAAGAACUUACUUCUGAAGUCAACAUAUAUUCACUCAAUUUGUAAAUGUAAUACAUUUUUAAGUUAUUGAAUUUAAUAUAUUUAUGUCAUUGAUGCACAUGACACUUAAGACACAAGUUAUCGAACGUACUUUGCAUCAUUUGUAACUAAUGUAUCUCGAAUGAUUUUUCCACCUGUGAUAUUUGUAUCUAUUUAGACCAUGUCAAUUUCAAUUUUUAUCAUUAGUGUGGGAGGUGAGUCAUUUAUAUGAUAAUCAAUUUUAAUUACUUCAAAAGUGGACUUGACAGUAACAUCUCCAUAUAAACUAAAUUUGCAGAAAAGAAAAUCCGUAGCUUCCCUUUAGUGCGGUUUGGUAGUUGCAAUUUUGUCUCAAAUUUCAUAUGGAACAAACCAUAUAUUACUUUGCCAAUUGCAAGCAUCAUUACCAACACAAAUAAAGACCGAAAAAUUCUUUCGCACAAUGACACCAUCAAAACAUGACUGAAAUAAUAUCUUUACCUUAAAUCCAAAUAUCCUUCUAAAAAUAUAAUAUCAUGACCAUUUAUAACCAAUAAUCACUCAACAAAUAUUACAAUUUAGACCAUCUGAUACAUUGACAAUCGUCUUCCAAAGCACAGAAGAAACAAAAUCAUGCAACACAUAACUAGGGUUUGUUAUUGUAUUUUAGUUAGUGUAGUUAAUUUCAACAUUUGUUUAAAGGUGGCCCAUUAACUUACUAGACAUGCUGUUGUUAAGCCCACCAAACUCUGGUCCAAUAAUCCUUGUUCAAUGAUUAUUGGAUUUUAAUGUUAUUUGGUUGAUUGGAAAUAUAUUUUUCCUCAAAAAGAAAAUAGUAUCUUUUUCAUCUAGAAGACGACCUUCACUUUAAUUAGCUUUUUUGCCAAAUAAAAACUUGAAUUAACUUUAACGUGUUAAACCUUUCCCUCACUCACUCACUCACUGACUCACUUGGAGUUGUCCCGAUAUUUUCUGUAAAUAAACAAAUGAUAGCGAAGCAUGAUUCACGCGCGAAGCACGUGGACGGAACCAACAAAGCAAAGAUGCUGUUCACUGUUAUUAUAACACUAAUUAAAUAAAAUAAAAAUAAAAAAUAAAAAAAAGAGGAACAGGUUUCGUACAGAGUUUCAGUUAAAAGUAGUAGCAAUUAGUAGUACAAAAGUGUAACCCAAACCCAAACCCCAAAGUAGGGUGAGAACACAACAAAACUCUAUCUUCCAAAAUAUGGAUUCUCUUUCUCUUUUCUUCACCGCAGCUCUCUUCGCCGGAGGCCUUUACUGGUUCAUCUGUAUCCUUGGUCCCGCCGAACAGAAAGGCAAAAGUUUCACAGAUCUCUCCGGUGGUUCCAUUUCCGCCGAAAAAGUCCAAGACAACUACAAACAAUACUGGUCCUUCUUCCGCCGCCCUAAAGAGAUCGAAACCGCCGAUAAAGUUCCAGACUUCGUCGACACUUUUUACAAUUUGGUUACAGAUAUCUACGAGUGGGGUUGGGGUCAAUCCUUUCAUUUUUCACCUUCAAUCCCUGGUAAAUCACACCGUGAUGCCACGCGCCUCCACGAAGAAAUGGCCGUCGAUCUAAUCGAGGCUAAAUCUGGUGAUAAAAUCUUAGACGUUGGAUGUGGUGUUGGUGGGCCCAUGAGAGCUAUCGCUUCACACUCACGCGCUAACGUCGUUGGUAUUACAAUAAACGAGUAUCAGGUGAAACGAGCCAGGCUACAUAACAAAAAAGCUGGACUCGAUUCUCUAUGCGACGUCGUUUGUGGUAAUUUUCUUCAGAUGCCGUUUCCUAAUAACACCUUCGACGGCGCGUACUCAAUCGAAGCUACGUGUCACGCGCCUAAUCUCGAAGAAGUUUACGCCGAGAUUUUUAGGGUUUUGAAACCCGGCGCACUUUACGUUUCUUACGAGUGGGUCACGACUGAGAAAUUCAAAGCCGAUAACGAUGAACAUGUUGAGAUUAUUCAAGGGAUUGAAAGAGGUGAUGCUUUGCCUGGGCUUAGAAGCUAUAGUGAUAUAGCUGAAGCGGCUAAAAAAGUUGGGUUUGAGGUUGUUAAAGAAAGGGAUCUGGCUAAGCCGCCGUCUGAGCCGUGGUGGAGCCGAUUGAAAAUGGGUAGGAUUGCGUAUUGGCGUAACCACGUUGUUGUAACGGUUUUGUCUGCUUUGGGAAUAGCACCUAAGGGUACUGUUGAUGUUCAUGAGAUGCUCUUUAAGACUGCUGAUUUUUUGACUAGAGGGGGUGAUUCUGGAAUUUUCUCUCCUAUGCAUAUGAUCCUUUGCAGAAAACCUGAUGAAGAUGAUAAAUGAUUAACCCUAAGUUAUCAAGGUCAGCUACUAUCGUUUAAUUAAUUAAAAUAAAAUUUCUCUUUCAAGUGCUUCUUUUCCAUGUUUUUAUUUAUUUAUAAUUUUUAUUUAAUUUUGGAUUUAACUUAUUGUUUUCUUUGAACCGGAUGUAAUUUGCUUUUUGAUAUUUGCAAUGUAGUUUUCUUUUUAUAUUUUUUUAUUUUCAUUUGCCUCAACAAUUGCCGUAUGGACUUUAUUUAUGUCAGUUAGUACUAGUAAUUUGGUUUUGAAGUUCUUACUAUUAGUAGUAGUGUGUUUCAUUUAUUUAAUGGAAUUUAUUUAGGUUGAAGUUGUUGUUAUGAUGAUUUGGUUGGCAUUUAUUAGUUUAAUUAAUUUGAUGUUGAUAUGCAAAUCUUAUGGAUCGGAGGAAUCUUUUGUUUGUCCUACGAUUUGUGGCGGUGGGUUAUUAAUGAUAUUUAAUUUGAUUGGGUUAAUAUGCUUUCGCUGAAUUGGUUUUUGGGGGAAGAGGAUUUAUAUACAAAGGUUGAAUGCAAAUGCUAAUAAUACGUUUCUUAACAACACAUUUCAAGAUUCAACGAAAAAACAUCGAGUCAAAUGUAUACAUUUUUUUAUGAUGAAGGAGGAGUAUUAUUAAUCUUUUAGAAAGUUAUCAAAUUGAUUUUUCAAACACAACUUUUAUUUUUAAGCUACAAAUUCUAACAAGGUCCGUUAAAUUAGGAGGUCACAAGAUUAAAUAUAAUUUUUUUUAACACACUAACUAAAUAUUAAUUAUUUAUUUUAUUAUUUUAAUUAUUUAAAAAAGUAAAAUUUCUAUUUUGUUUUUUCGGGAGUGUAACUAAAACUCGUGACCAUGGAAGACUUGCUUCUUAAACCAAUAUCCAUUGCAGUAGUCUUAUCUUAAUUUGAUAUCCAAUAAGUUAUAAAUAAGUGUUGUAUUCAUACGAGAAUCACUUUAGUAUCUAAAAUACAUUAUACAUUCGUUAAGAGUACACUUAAUAUGAUAAAUGUAUCUAAAAUGUAUUUUAUUUACUCAUAAAUGAGUAUUUUAUAAAAGCUGUUAUUUGAUUUAUUAAAAGUGAUUGUUAGCAAGUGAUAGAUUUAAUAUGAUAAAAAUAGAAAUAGAAAAAGAAUGGUGGGAUUAUUGGGGAAACAGCACAUGUUAAGAUUGGUUCUAUUAGCGUGGGAUUAGGUGGCGAGCACUAGUGCCUGGCAUUUGUGGUACCGUAACGUGAUUAUACCUAAGCUUUUUAGAAUCUGGAUCUAGACUUGAGGCAUGCUGUGUUUCAUUUUUGGUUUAUCUUUUGUCAUGUUGUGCGUGGGUCUUUUUACUUCCAGCUCAGGAGACCGAGUUGCCACACAUGCUACAACAUUUGUCCUUCAAUUGCGUUGGAUCUCUCACUCUUUUUUACUCCACUCUUUUUCCCGUGACAUUAUAACGCCUAUAUUUUGUUUCAUAAUAACAAACUCCAACACUAAUGUCGUAGCUUAUAUAUUAUAUUUCUUUAGAAACUAUUAAUGAUAAUUGUUUCACAUUGUAAUUUUAAGAGGUAAAUUUUGAAUCUUGUUUUAAAUAAUUGUAAAAUAAUGAUUAAUAUAGUUAUUAAUAAUAAUCUCACCUUCGUUUUUAAAUUUUUUUUUUUGACAUGUUGGAUGUGAGUUCAAACUCUAACUACUCAUCUUUUCACGUUUAAUGUGUGAGUUUGUUUAGUUCCACGUUUUCCUAACAAAUCUCGCAUCCCAAUGUUGUAUAGAUGUGAAAUUUAAGCUUUGAAACAAUUUGUUAGAGGCUUUUGGACGUGGGUCCAAACAAGGGUAAAAAAACUCUAAAACUAAAAAGCCUAAGCAAGUUACUUCACUUUUUAAUGUCGUAUAAGUGUUAUUAUUAUUUAAACAAACUUUUACUUCGUCACUUUUUAGGCCUGAUUAUUAGGCCUAAGUAAUUAAUUCGUUGACAUAAAAAAAACUACAUAUUUUUGUAAAUAACCUUUGCCAAUGGCCCCAUUCACUUUCCACGUCACCUUGUAGUUAAUUCUACACUUUAUUUUGUUGAGAUGGCUCAUCCAUUUUUUUUAUGUCUAUAUCUAAAUAGAGUGUUCAAAUUUGUAUGACCAUAUUGAGAAAUUUCCUGUUGGGAUUAUGAGGGAGGAGCUCUGUAUUGGGCACAAUCCUUUCAUUUGUAUGACCAUAUUGAGAAAUUUCCUGUUGGAUUGAAAUGAGUUAUAUUUGUUACUCGAUCUUAAAAUAUGAACCUGAUUGAUCCCAAGUGGCCUAAAGUUUUACGUGAUCAUUGAUCAACACUUAAAUUUGUGUCUCUCUAUCUAGAAUGUUCAUUUUUUAGCGAACACCAAAAGCAAAUUUAUCAAUGAAUACACCAUAUUUUUUAUCUCCAAAUAUUUAUGGAGACAUUAUUAAUUAUUUUUAAUUCUUAAAAUAAACUAUCCAAUAAUAAUAAUAAUAAAGGUGAGAUAAAAACAUCCAAUGCAUCAGAUGUUUUUAAUUUGUCGUGGAAUGAUAAUAAAUUGAGGUCCAUUAAAAGCAGGCUGCCUAUUUGAGUCAUAGAGUAUGUGUGGACCAGUGCGCCCAAUAUAAUUUGAAACAGAGUUUAUAAUUUGUUGAUUUAAAAUUUAGUAUGUGUGGAAUGGAUGAAGAUUUCAGUCCGUCUAUAUAAGUUGGUCUGUUCAGUUUAACUAUAUGGGGUGGGACAAGAUUGGUUUUCGGGCCGAGAUAACUAUUUUUUUUUUUAUUUUUUUAUAUAUAUAUUUAGUUUUUGAUUCUUUUUUACUAAUUUAGUUAAACUUAUGAGUUUUAUUUAAAAAAAUCACACUAUAUAAUAUUAAUUAGUGUGUUAAUAUAUUAUGAAAUUAAUAACAUAUGAUCUCAUGUUUAAAAUGCACAGUUAUAAACUCUAUAAUGAAAUAUAAUACAUUUCUUAAAUUUUAAAAUUUUCUAUUUAUUAAUAUAUUGUAUUAGUAAGUAGAUUAUAAUAAAUCUCUUAUAGGACUGUUUGAUAUUUAUAAAUUUAUUUUCAAGAUGUUUUUUAUGGUAGUAAUGAUUUUCUUUGGAACUUAACUCUCUUGUUUGAUCAUGGUCACAUUUAUUUCUAUAAGAUGUUAAAAUAAAAUUAAAAAAAUAUUGACAGACCGACCCGCAAGUUUGCUACAUAAUGGAGCGAGGUUGUUUAGUAUUUUUAACUCGACCAUCGAAGUAUCUUCAUCCUACUUUUUAGUAAGUUAAUGAUGCGACGAGUUAAACGAGAUGAAUAAACCAUCUUUACUAUUUCUAUUCAUAGAAUAUACAAUAAUAUUUUAAGAUAUUUUUAACUCAUUUACUUUAUUUAUUUAUAUGAUCAAUUUUGUGUUUACAUUCAAGCAUGCAACUUAAAUUUUUGAUAUACAAUUUGGCACCUUCGUCUUUUUCAAGUUCCGCCACAACACGGAAUCAUUGUGCAAGUACAUUACAAAACCAACCAUACCACAUUCAUAAGUAAAAGAAGCAUCAAUAUUAUACGUGACCAAACCCAACAAAGGUUGAUCCAUCAUGAUCAAAGGCCUAGAACCACUGCACAAGAACAACCCAAUCCCAAUCAAAUCGGGAAUAUCAGAAGAAAAAAAAUACAGACGGAUGCUCUUCCAACCCUACUAAAUACCACAAGCCGAUAAUAAUAAAAAUAAGACUGAUGAAUUUACUGAAAACCUCAGUUCGAUAGUAUUUUUUACAUAUUUUAUACUUUAUAAAAUCCAAUGAAGGUUUGGUCCAUUAAGAGAUACAACUAAUUAAUUGCAGGCGAGCUAUAUAGUGACAAUGAAAUUUAUUUAUCUUGGAAAACUUUGCUACUUCUACAAUCUCUAUAUUAUACAUUUUUACUAAACAAUAUUAAUCUUGACAUAUCUCACAUAUCAAAUAAUUUUAUAUCAACUUAAAAACUUAUAAUCAACUUUAAAAUAUCGAUAAUUACACAUGUUUUUGCAGUUAAAUAUCUGAAUAGUCCUCUACACAAAAUGUUUUCAAAAAAUAAAAAAUAUACACAAAAAUUCUAAUAAACUAAAUUUAAUCAAAUAAAUAUAAAAAAAAUAAAAUAAAAAUCAAAAGAACAAGUCUUCAUUUUAAUAACCAAAUUAAGAACUAGUUUGGUCUAAUCUAAUGUACUUUAUCCAAUUGAAGGGGCCUUGGUGGAGCCAUAGUCCUUCUCUUCCAUAGAUUAAUUUCUUUUCGUGGCUUCAAAUUAUCAAGUACACCAACCCCACCACCACCAAGCAAAAUAGGUGCAGAGAAAGGUAUCAUGAACUCCUCUUCUUCAUCAUCAUCAUCAUCAUCACCGUUCAUUCUGUCUUCAUCCGAAUAAUAAUCCUCUAUUUCCUCUGCCACUACUUGAGCCUUCCAAUCAAAAUUAGCAAAAGUGCCACGUCCACUUGCAAACCGUUUCAUUUGACUCAAAUGCGUUGCUCUUUCCUCAAGUGCAUACUUGUUAUCCUGAGCCGCAGUUGCAUCUGAUUUCCUUCUCCUCCCCUCAGAUUUUGGCUUCCCCACAUGUAACAACAUCUUUUGAAAAGUGGUUACGUGUUUCUUCACUUCUACGAUGUCUUUAACUUUUUUGAUUUGUUUCUUUUUGUGCUUGAUUUGUCCCAUACACGAUAUUUUUGGUGAAGUGGGUUCUUCAUUUUCAAUUCCAUUAAUACCCUUGGGCUUUAUGGAUACAAUUGGGCCUGAAAAUCCCUUAUGAGGCCUAGCCCAAUUUUUUGCGUUAUCUUGUUUUGAUUUGUGAUUCUUACCUGGGCUGAAUGGAUUAUUUUGAAAUGUUAAAUUGAUACUUGGUAAUAUCUUCAAGAUCUUGCUCCUUAGCUUAAAGUUUUUCUCCAUGAUCACACUAAAAGAUUGAUAAGUAGAUCGAAUUAGAAAGCUAGAAAAAGGGUUGGAAUUUGAGAUUUUUGUAUGUUUUGUUAAGAUGGACUCUCUUUAUAUAUGUUGGAUUUGUUGACGAAGCUUUGAGAUUGAAACCAGUUAUUUGUAACAAAUAUUAAAUAAUGAUACCGGAGUUUGUAUAAUAAUAUUAUAUAUAUUUGGAUAUAUCUGAUUGUGUCAAGAAAGGUGGGCAUAUAUGUGGAGAGUGUUUGGUCAAAUAAGAAAUGUGGGACUCGGCAAUAAUUAAUUAUUAUAUAGCUUGUUUCGACCCAUAAACAUAAUUAAGUUACUACAAUAAUGUACUUGGCACGUAACUCGGUUAAUAAAUUAAAGACUAACAAAGAAGGUGAUUCUGAGUUUUACGAUAAUAUUUGCUUAUUAAAAAAAUAAGUUUUUACGAUAAUUUUGGAAACUUACUACAGUACUUUUUGUGAGUGGAAUUAUGAAAUUAAAUGAGACUUAUUUAGGAAUUGUAGCUCAAAAUGUAUCAUUUUAAUUUAAGGCAUGCACAACAUAACUACAAGUCUUUACCUCAGUUGUGAAACAGCCUGCGCCACUUAAUUUGUUUGAUAAAGAAAAAUCACGUUGUAGUUGAUUUAUAUAUAUAUAUAUAUAUAUAUAUAUAUAAUUUAUAAUAAGGAAAGAAAAAAAAAACAGAGUUAGUUGUUAAAAUGAACCAGGUUGUCUUUUUCUUUAACAUUUUAUUUUCUGAUAUAUGUAUAGAAAUUGUGAAAACAACAUGGCCUUAUAUUUUAUCAAUUUCAAUAUUUUUCCAUAGUAAUAAAUAAUUUGAAAUACUUAAAUGUUUUUAAAUGAAACAAGCAAGAAAUUUGUACUAUCGUACGAGUAACCCAUCAUUGAUAUUUUCUGUGUGUCCCAUUCAGAUUUUAAACAAAAAUUUGUACUUUUUAAGCAAUACUUUUUUUUCGUAGUGAUAAACAAUUUGAAAUAAUUUAAAUUUUUAAGCAAUACCUAAAUGUUUUUAAAUGAAAUAAUAUUUUUUUAAAAUAACAAAUUUAUUUCAAUUUCCGGAAUAAAUUACCAUGGUGCACUCGUGCACUUGAUUUCGUCUACUCCUGACUUUUUUGUGAAGUUUUGAUUCCAUUAUAAAGUGUGGAAUGUUAUUUUUUAAAUGAAUUUUUUUUUUUAAAUUUUAAUUUUUCUGAUUUAUAGGAGACUUAGCAAUUUAAAAUUCUAUCGAGAUGUAACUAAUAUUUUACUAAGAUUUCCUCUAGACAAAAUUUUAACUUCGAAUUCUUUACAGUUGAUCUUUAACUAAAACUUAAUACUCAUUUGACCUCAAUCCCUCUAUUAUUUAAAAUGAAUUAAGAAAGAGGGAGACAAUGUGUAUGUAAUAAAAUAAGUCACCUAACCGGGAUUUUAAAAUAAAUGUUUGAAGUCAUAUUUUAAACUACCGGUUGUUGUUGACCAUUGAACGCGUUUGAAAUUUAAAAUAGUAAAUAUUUUUUCAUUCCCAUAGAUUCAAAUAUCUAAAUCACACGGUUAGAGAACUGGCUCGAACAAAAAAAAUGUAAUUAAGAAUGUAAAGUCAUUUUGAGAUGUGUCGAAAUUAAAACGAGUGCUACCUAAUUUCCAUGUAGGAGCCAGACAAUUAUUGCGUAAGCAUAUCGUGACUCGUGUGUAUUCGAUGAUACGGUUGCACGUGUAUAUACUUGUAAAUCAACGAGUCGUAAAAGGGGGGACUUUGGUCAUUCUUAUCUACAUGUGUGAAUUUAGUCAAAAAAACUAUUAUUCAUGUGAAUAAUGGAAUUCCACGUUGUUAUCCUAUGUUUACCCUGUAAAUGAAAAAUAUUUUUUUUGUGCAGUGUGAAUGAAUAAUGAGAUAUUGAGAAAUUGAAAAAGGCAACAAGGAUAUAAACUAUCCAAAUGCUUGUAUUAACUUCUCGCCCAGUAGCUUCCCAUGUAAAAUUACGGUUGUUUACUUCCUGAAAAUGUUUUUUGUUUUUGUUUUUGGUUUUAUGUGGAACAAUAGAUUUCUUCUCAUUGUCAUCAAUCUACAAUAUGCUCAUUUUCCAUUUUUGUUCUGGACUGGACAAACGCCCCAAUCUUCUAAGGACUUCAGAUUCCGAGUUGGGACCAACCCUGGGAAAGCAUAUGAACUUGCGGAGUAACCUAACAGAAUACCAACAAACAUGAGGGAACAAAGGCAAGCGACACGAAAUUGUGUCCUCUGAACCGUUACACUCUGACCCUCAACGGUCAUUUCCCCAGAUCCUUCCACCCACUUGCAUAUAUAGAUCCUAUCUAAGAAGGACAGGUACAUGCACUUUUCAUAUAUUCUCAUAUACAUGUCAACUCUUCGCUAUCAGAGUGUUUCAAAUCCAACCCCACCCGAGAUACUCACAAAAAGGUGUCACUCCAACUCUCAAUCUAGUCUCCAGCUUGGUCUAAAUCGAAUCAACUUCAAUCAUCAUAUUCAGGUUGUGAAUUACACUGGCAAUUUCAGAAAUGGCAAAAAAGACUUAGUAUUUUCAAAUUUUUUGAAAAAAAACUGAUUUCGAAAGUUCACAACCAGAACAGUUGGACAAAACACAUUUUAUUGUCAUUAUUUUUUGUAGAAAUGAAAACUGCACAUGGAAAAAGUAGAAGGGGCUUUAGUUUUGCACCAUUAAUUCUUUUUAGGACUAAUAACAUGGUUCCCUCUUCCCUAGUCUAGUCAAAACCUCAUGGCUGCAUUAACCCAAAAUCUGCUCCAAUGCUACAGUUGCCCAUUUCAAACCAAAUUAUCAAUUUGUAAAAAAAAGUCUAAAUUAUCAGAAUAACAAAAAUUGCAGAAUGUAAACUAAAGUACUACUAAAAAGGACAACGAACCUAACCUUCAUUUAAUCCAAACCAAUAUAUAUAUAUACAAUCAACAAACAUUUUCUUGGCAAACCAGGUAUGAUUUUUAAAUAUGAACCAGAUCCACGGCUAACUAGAGCCUUACAUGCAGAUAACACAUUACACAUCUCAGCUUGCUUAGCUUAAAGGGACUUUUGCAGUUAAUGCAGUUUGCUACCACAGAACCAAAAAUGAGUUUAGCAAUUGCGUAAAAACAAACCAGGCAGAACUAAACAGACUGGUUCACAUCUCAGUCUCUGGAAUAUGCAACUUGUUAGCAUCUCCAUGAACAAUAUGCCAGCAGGAACAUACUGUUAUCAUUCCCUUCAGUCAAACCAUCCAAGGUUUCUAAAGCAAAAAUUAAGCAGUUCACAAAAAUAAAUAGUGCCAGUAAUAGGGACAAUGAUUGAGGAAACAAAAGAUCAACCUCAAAAAGUCUCUCUCGGCUAUGAAUGCCAAAACAAGUGGCCAAUUGAAUACCCUGCCCAGCAACAAAAAACAACACUUAUCAAUUACAGUCUCAAACCAUCCUUCAAGAACACUAACUAAUUUUUUUGCCAUAAAUAAAUAAAUCAUGGUCAUCAAGCUAAUUAAUUUAAAAAAUACUCCAUCAAAAACAAUACAACCAGUUAAACCAACAUUUUGUCUCACUUAUAGUAAUUAGCAACACGGCCAUUCUAUAGUCAUACUUGGAAGUUCUUUGAUUCAGCUCAAUGAUGUCAAGGACGAAGCAACUUCUACAAAGGUCGAGAGACAAAUCCCCUAGCAACCAUCUUCUCGACCAACUCUUCAUGCUUUUUUAGCUGUCCAGCCUUCCUCAGCUGCUCUAAAACCAUUUCAUAAAUCGACAGAUUUGGCUUUAGACAUUUUUCUUCAACCAUCUCCUUCAUUAACUUGUAUGCAUUAUUCCAGUGCCCCUUUUCACAAAACAUCAAAAUCAAAAUUCGGUAAGUAUUCACAUUUGGUUCAACUUGACUCUCAUCCAUUUCCUUUUUCAACUUCAGAACCAUAUCAAUAGAUUUUGAGUCAACAAACAUUCUCAUCAGUAUAUUAUACGUCAACGUAUUAGGCCUGCACUUAAGUUCCUUCAUUUUAGCAUACAUCCGAUGUGCGCCAUUCACAUCAUGCAACUCGGCUAUGCAUCCAAAAAUUGAAUUGAAAGUGCUUGCAUUAGGAUCAACCCCUUUUUUAACCAUUGUAUCUAAAACCUUCACAGCUUCAUCAAGAUUCUCAUCUUUACAAUGACUCUCAAUGAUAAAAUUAUAGCUAAUUGUAUCAGCAGCACAACCGAGUCUCUUCAUUUGAUUGUAAACCUGCAAAACCUUUUCGGUCCUUCCAGCUUUCACAUGAACCCUCAUAAGACUAUUAAAAGUAACAGCAUUAGGAUCACAACCAGCAUCAAUCAUCUCAGAGAAAACAUCAUGAGCACGAGUGAUCUGUCCGGACCUACAAAGCGAAUCAAUCACAAUGCUAUAAGUAUAAACAUUAGGCUUAAUUCCAGCCACUUUCAUAUCACUAAAAACCUCCUCAGCCUUCGAUAUAUUACCAGCACGACACCAACCAUGAACUAAGCUAGUGUAAACUAUAACAUCAGGUUCAAACCUAUGCUUAAGACUAUCAAAAAAUAAUUGAGCUUCACUCGCUCUUCUUUUCUUACAUAAACUACUAAUCACAAUUGAGAAUGCAACCUUAUCAGGCGUGCAACCGUACUCUUCCAUACGAUUAAAAGCGUGCACCGCCUCCGCAGCCAAUCCAGCCCUCACGUAACGCCGGACGAGAACAGCGAACGUGCCGACUGUAAUUUUGACGCCGCGUGAUUUCAUCAAAUCGAUUAAGUUCCAUGCUAAUUCGAAGUGUCUGAGUUUUCCGGCCAGGUCAAUCAUCUCAUUAUAGGGCUCAGGGGAAGAAGGGAAUCCUUCGAGCGUGGUGGCAUAGUUGAAGAAGGCUAGGGUUUGGAGAAAUGGAUUACCGUGGCGGACACCGCCGCAUUUCUCGAUGACGCGGCGGGCGAUGGAGGGAGAAAUUGAAUGAACGGUGGAGAUUUUAGUAAAAUCGAUUGAAAGAUCGGGUAUGGAGAGAUUGAGUGAAGGUGGAAGGGGGUUAGGGUUAGGGUUAGGGUUUUUGCUGUAGUGGUCUUUAAUUGCGGUGUGAAACUUGUCGACUAUUUGAGACUCUUCGGGAGAUAGAUUGGUGGUGUUUUGAGGAGUUUCGUUUGUAUCAUUAGGUUCUGAAAGGAGAGAUGAANNNNNNNNNNNNNNNNNNNNNNNNNNNNNNNNNNNNNNNNNNNNNNNNNNNNNNNNNNNNNNNNNNNNNNNNNNNNNNNNNNNNNNNNNNNNNNNNNNNNNNNNNNNNNNNNNNNNNNNNNNNNNNNNNNNNNNNNNNNNNNNNNNNNNNNNNNNNNNNNNNNNNNNNNNNNNNNNNNNNNNNNNNNNNNNNNNNNNNNNNNNNNNNNNNNNNNNNNNNNNNNNNNNNNNNNNNAGAGUGUGGUAAUAGUGGGGAAAGAGAGUGUUGCAAGUGGAAGUGUAGCCUUGAUUUGAUGAAUGACAUUGUUAGUUAAUGUUUGAUAAGACACUGAACCCGGUUCAAUUGAGAGGGAUAACAAGAACACCAGCUCUGAUGCUAACUUGCCGUUCGGGAACUACCGUCACUUUUUAAAGUGAAGAAGAAAUUAGUUAUUGGCGGCGCGCCCUGAACUGUAAAAGACCUUUGUUUUUUGUUUCCGGUUAAGAGCCAAGACUCAAGCAUGGUGAGAAGACAAGAUGAUGAAUAUGGACCAGGGCCUGUAGAAUUAGCGAAUUGGGCUUCUAAAAUAAUGGACCAAAUUCACUUAUGCUGUGUUGAUGUAUAAAAUAAAUAAAAUUUUAUCCUAUGUUUGAUGUAUAACAGAGAAAAUUUUAUCCCAUAUCCCACACUUAUAUUCCUAUCCUAGAUUUUAUACAAGCUAUUCUCUCUUUUUUUUUACCCUUCUAAAUCCAAUUUGGAUUUCCGAAAACUUUUCAAAACAAAUUUAAGAAUUUAUGUAUUUUAAAAAUUUGAACUUUAUAUAUUAAUUUUUUAUUUUAAAAAGUUUCAGUAUUAUUAGAAUGUAUCACCACACAGUGUUAUUAGAAUGUGAAUUUAGUUUUUGAGAUUGGGAAUAAUUUCUGAAUUAUUCAAUUAGUUUAGUAUUUAUAUGGUUGAUUUAGUUCUUCAAGUAUUCAAUAGAAUGGGCUGCUGGCUGCUGCAUCUAUAAUAUUGUGGCUUUGUCAUAGAGAAUUCUAGAAUUUGUAGUUGAAAUUGAAAUGUCUGUAUUCUGUAAGCAUAGGCUAGGUUCAUGGAAAGUUGAAUUCCUACAUAGAAUUUGUGGUAAAUUUCUGAAGACUCUAGAGUUUGAGUGGGAAGUCUUAGUUUACUUCUUUGAAUUCUUGUGGUAGUAAACUGUUGGGAUUUUUAUUGUAUUUAAAAUGUCAAUUCUACCUAUCAUUUUGAACAGUCAAAAGUAGAAUGUGAGUGCUUGAUUAAUCUUGCCAAGCCUUUCAUGGCAAAAUCAAGUGUUGUCGAUAUCAAGACAGGAAAGCGUACAGAAAGCAGGAUUUCCUGAUGCUAAGGCCAAAUUUAGUUCUGUGCCAGGGUGGAAUGAUUUAUCCGAAUGUGCUAGAAAGGGUCUAUCAGUGAAACCAAAAACCACACUAGAUGCAUCUAGUUUACAUGGUUAUAAACUAUUAAAUCCUGUAACUGGAUCAGCCGUAAAUAUAUUGAGGAGUUCAAAGUUAAGGCAUUGCCUGUCCAGGUACUUCUAAAGACUAAGGAUGAGCCUAUUGUUUUCCUAAAAAUAGGGGUCAAGAAUUUAACGAUGACUUAUAAAAAACUAAGUGGGAAUUUCAUCCCUAAAAUCUCCAUUCUCAGACUAGAUAUAUAGGCUUGAGCAAGUGGAUAUAUUAUGGUUUAUUUGAUUUUUAUUUUGAAAACAAUUUUAUAAUAUAAAUUUAAAAAAUUCUUUAAGACAAAACAAGAACUCUUAGAUAUUGACUUAAUUCUAAGGUGAUGGUUCAAUUAAGCUUCGCACAUGGGGAACUAAAAGAAGUAUCAUUAGAUUUAAUCAAUUGGUCUAGAUUUGUUAGAAAUAUAAAUGAGAACAUUCUCACAUUCACAUACGCAAAUAUGCCCCACCUCUCCCCCAUUUGUUUGUAAGCAUGUCAUGGCGAGUUUUUGCAAGUGCGAAAUUUCCUAGAGUUAUUUAAAACAAUCAGAUCCACAGUUCUUUUGUCAAGCCUUUUGUAAGUGUAUGAUUCGGAUCUUCUAGCUCGCGCUACUAAAACUAUCCCUAGAAAAACACACAUAAAUUCAAGUGGCCAAAGAAGUUCACAAAUGGGACCUUCAGAUCCAAAGAGAGUAGCAACAUCUGCCAAAAAUAGUUCUCAUAUCAAGAAUUAUGAAACUGCAAUCAAGGGCAUUGAUGACUUGAAAUUAAAGAAUGAUGAUGCACAUCAAUAAUUUCUCACAUUUUUUACUGAUAUAAAAAUUUGAGUUGACCUUCCCUCUGUGGUGUGGUUUGCUUCAAUAAGUUCACAGAUUCCAUUGACCAUAGUCUUUUGCGUUUCCUCUUAAUUUAUUACCACUACCAGUUGUUCCUAACACAUCAUCUUAUGUGCGGUCGUGGAUCUAAAAAUAUUAUUUAUUGGGGGUAAGAAAAUAAAUAUAAUAUUUUUUACAAAAAAAAUCAAAUAAAGACUCCAACAGUUAUUAAUUAAAAAAAAAACAUGAAGAUUUAAUUGGUCUUAGAAAUAAAAAAGGUAAUAAUUUAUAACAUUAUAAGUUUUAUAAUUAAGUGAGUUAAAAUAAUCUAUAAUAUUUUUACAUAAAAAUAUUUGAUUCUCUAACUUUAAAAUAAAAGAAGGUGAAGUGUAUAAGAAUGGAAGGGAGAAAUAUAAUAUAAUGGGAGUAAAGAUGUAAGAGAAUUAGAAAAAGUGUGGUGAAGGCGAACAUCUAUUUUUUGUUAUAUGUUUUAAAGUGUAAAAAAUAAAUAAAUUUCCCCUUAUAAAAAGGUUGUGGGCAAAAGUCUCGUUAACAUUUGAGUUUGAACUCCGAUUAGACAAAGUUCUACAAAUGUGUUUAAAAAUUUUAGAAUUCCUUUUCAUGAAUAUAAAGUUUGAGUUUUCUAAAAAAGUUUGUGUUUUAGAAAAUUUAAAAAUGUUUUUCUGGUACACAAAAUUCGGAUUUUCUAAUUUACAUUUGUGUUAUGGAUGUUUUUUUUUAAGUUUUUUUUUAUAAUUAUUUUUGAAAAAAAUAGAGUAACAUAGGUAAUUGCAUAAAAUGUGGAGGUAAGAGUAUAAAUGUGAGGUAGGUAUAAGGUAAAUUUAUCAAAAUUCUAUGGUUAAAAAUAUAUCAUCAAAUUAAGUCUCUAAAAUUAAAAAUCCCCUAAAAUUAAGUGGGCUAAUUGGAUCUAUAGACCCACUUUUUUUCAAAUAUUUUUUUUUGGGAAAUUGCUUUUCAAUAUUUUUCCAAUAAAUUUUCAAAAUUUUUAUGAGAAAAAAAAAGAUUUUGAAACUUUUCUGAAAAAAAAAAUGUUUGAAUUUUUUUUAGAAUGAUUUUUUCAUGAGAAAAAAAUAUUUUGAAAUAUUUUUAAGAAGAAUAAUUCUAUUUUUUUAAUAAAAAAAUAUUUCAAAUAAUUCUUUUUAAAAUAAAAUAUGAUUUUUUUCUUAUAAAAAAAUUCAUAUAUUAUUUUGGAAAAAAUCUUAGUUGACAAGACAAUGAACACAUGAACCCUUCACUUAUACCCAAAUAAAAUAAAAUAAUAAUAAUGAGUUGGGACCUCCAAAAAUUGUCAAAUCAUAAUUAAAGGGCUUGGUAGAAUGUUCCUUAAAGGGAGCUUAACACUUUAGAACUUAAUUGACGACUAUAUAAAUAUCUAUCGGUAAAUAUGCAAUUUGAUCAAUCACUUUAUUAAUUUGUAUCAACUUAAUCUUUCACUUAUUCAUAAUUUCAAAAUAGUUUAUUUAUUUAUUUCACUAUUAAUUAAGUUAGUGUCAAUUCAAAUUAAAUAAAAAUGAACUAACAUGUUAACUACCACAUAAUCAAAUUUUGAGGAUCUAUUUAAUACUUUUUAGUAAUGAAAUCUUGCCGGUUGCCGUGUUUGCUCAAUAAUGUUUGAGAAUAUUUUAGUAUUUUUUAAAAUAAUUAUUAAAAGUUAGAAAUCUCUUGUUUUAUGAUAUACCAAGUCAAAAAUCUUCUUAUUCCUCACACUCUCUAGCACUUAAACCUUGUUCACAAGCUUUAGCAUAAUCUCAUUGUGUUCUUUCAUAACAUUUGAUUGUUGUCUCUGUGCUAUUAUCAUUCGAUUAGCCUGGUCAUAAGUUCACCCUCAUUUUUCAAUAUUUAUCCUCUUCUUGAAAUGCAAUAAUCCAAAUCAUCAAUGGAAGAAAAAACUAUAAUAAAUGAUAAAAACCAUAAUAAUGAAAGAAUCAACACAAAAAUAAUUUAAGUUAUUUAGAGUAAAACCCCCUAAAGAGAUCAUAAGAUACAAACAAUCAAAGUAAUUAAAAAAAGUGCAUAUUUAAACAUUAUCUUUCAAAUAGGACAACUAAAGAAUGGUCGAUCCGAGUUUGCGUAUGUCCUUGAAAUCGUUAUCAUAGUUUUGCUCAUACAAAAACAAAAAGAACUGGAUGAUUUUUCUCAAUACACGAUUUAUCAAACCCUAAAUUACCAAUAAUGCUUUUUCUUUUCAUAGAUGGAGUAAAUCGAGAGCUACCACCCAUCUUAUCAUAUCGUUUUUCCAAAUAUAAUAAAAUUUAUAGAAAAUAAACAUAGGUGGAACAAUACAUUAAUGGAGGAAGGAAAUAAAAUUAGAAAGGAAGACUUCUCAACAAUGUGUUGUAUAAAAAUACAAUUCAUUGCUAAAUUUUAUUGUCUAUUAGUAGGUGUAUAUGACAACUUUUCAAAUUUAAACAAUAUCAAUUAAGUUCUCGAGAUUGACUUACAUGACACUUAAUAUAACAAUUUACUAUGAUCAAAUGAAAGAUUAAAUUGAUACAAAUUAACAAAGUCAUAAAUGAAAUUGAGUAUUUAAUCUGAAACCUUGUGUUAGAUUAUAAUUCCUUCAUUGGAUGGGUUUAGAAACUUUGACUAAACUUAAAUGUUGAGGCGGCCUUGGCAUUGGAACUUCAAGUAAGUCUAAUAUUGCAAUGUUUGGUACAAAAUGUUUGGGGCGCUAUCAACAAUCUCCACGUCCCAAAUGCUUAAAUUUCUAAAUAUCUUGGUGAUAAACAUUUGUUGCGUGCCACUAUUACUCCUGUGUUUGGAGUACAACUAUGAAGGCUAUUAACGUCCUGAAGGUUGGUUGUACUUGUUUGCAGAUUAAUUUUUUCAUUUUUAAUGAGUUUGUAUUGUAUUGUUUCUUAUAUAAGUAUUUUUUUGAUCAAAAUGCAAUAUUAAAUAAAUUGAUACGAUAGGAGUAUAAUCUGCUUUAAUUUAUCCUCUAUUGCUAUCAAUGCUAUUAAUGAGCAUUAAAAAGUAUUUAAUAUUUUAAUAAGCAAUACUUUUAUAACCGUGAAGGUUAAUCAUAAUAAUAAGGACUUGUGCCGCAAGGAAAGCUUCUCGUGCGCUUCAGUCUCCGACAUCCGUCAACUUACUUGAAAGGGUUCUGAGUUCUGAUUCACGAUUAAAAUCCCAGUCGCGCUGCUGUCAAAAUCUUCGUCGUUCACAAUGUCUGAGACAGAUUCGGAAAAGCCACAUGGUAAAAUCAUUCACAUUAAUCGCUGCGUUUUACAUUUCCUUCCAUUUUUCUAACGGAAAGUUUUACAGUUACAGAUGAGGUGAAGGAAGAGACCGAUUUACGACUCACCUAUCGGAAGGGUGAAAACUUCGAAGAGUGGUAUUCAGAGGUACACUACUUGUUCCAUUUCCGUCUUAAACCCUAGCUCUCUCUCUAUUGAUAUAAAAACAACUUUCUGACCUGUUUGAUUGUGGCUUUCAAUUACUCCUACAGGUUGUCGUUAAGUCGGAAUUGAUUGAGUACUACGAUGAUAUUUCUGGUUUAUAUAUUCUCAGACCUUGGGCAAUUGCAAUGUGGGAGAUUUUGCAUGUAUGUUUCUUAACUAUCUAAUGCCGUUUAUUGUUUUAUACUCUUCAUUAGCAAGCUACUGAGUCGAUACAUAUUUAAAAUUUAUGACUCCUUCCAAUUGGUGGCGUUUUUGUUUUGGAGAAAUUAAGGGCAUGUGAAAAUUUAUAAUAUGGCUUGGGGAUUUGAAUUUUAACGGUUAUUAAUUAUUAUUUUCUAACAGACAUAGAUAAAAUGUAGGAAAAGAUAAAUUUCUCGACUACCGGGAGAGGUUGUUGGAUCUUUGACAAAUAUCGUGCACAACAUGAUGAUAAGGAUUUAGUGAAUGGGAACUUUGGAUAAUUCAUAACUUCUAUUAGUUGGUAAAUUGGUCAGUUAGUUUUAGUUAUGAUCCAUGGAACCCUGUUAUAGACCUUGUUACAUGUAGUAAAGUUUGCUAUCGUUUGUUGCCUUGUAUAUACAUGUAAUAUGUACUUUUGUAAAUAAAAUCAUAUAGUUCUUUUCAAAAAUCUCAAUAGGGAAACAAAUCACACAUCCCCUUCUUUUGUCCUUCCAAUUAAAAGAUAAAACCUCACACAAAUUAAUGACUAAGAUAGAGAAUGCUGAUAUUUAACAGGGUAAAGUUUAUUUCAUUCCUAGUGUAAAGAUGGUUUGUUGCAAGUCCUUGCAGCCUAACUCAUUCAUUUCUUUUAGAAUUGGUAGUUCAUUUAUGAUUCCUUAUUUUACUUUGUGAAAAUGUAAUUUGUUUUCAUUUUCUAAAUAUGUGUUCAUUUUCACUAGCUAUUGAAGUGAACUAUUUUGGUGGAGAGAAUUAAAUGCUUGUUAAUAAUGAUGCAUUUUCAGAAAAUGACUAAAUAACUCUUUUGGCAUCUUGAUUGUUUCAAGGAAAGUAGAUAGUUGUUCACUUCAAGAGAGUCUCUCAUCUCCUUGUUAGCAAGUAAAUGUAACACGAGUUUUAGAAAAUGAAAAUAAAAAUUAUUUUACAAAGUAAACGAACCCUUUGAUCCUUCAAACUUGCAUAUAGAAUUACACAGUUAUUUUAUUUUCUGUUAAGCGAUACUUAACUCAGACUUGCUUUCAUAUCAAAAACAAAUGUGCAGGAUUUUUUUGAUCCAGAAAUAAAGAAAAUGAAGGUCGAGAACUGCUACUUCCCUUUGUUUGUGUUGAAGCCUCAUUUGGAAAAGGUGAAGGACCAUCAUGAUUCUUUUGAUGAACAGGUGAGAGUUUCUGAAUUUGGUGGUUAGGACAUUUAACAGUUUCCGUUCAUACCACACGGAUUGAUUGCUCUUAAAAAUCUUUAGAUCAUUGCAUGCUUAAAUCAUUUGUUGUUUCCUAAUUGUUUUAUCAAUGUUUCUCAUUUUACUGAUGAUGUUUUUGUGUUAAAAUAUUGUAUUUAACAUUUUUCUUUAUAAUAACUCUAUCACUUAUGCUGAUUGUUAUGAACUGAAUUUAGAUGAGGUGUACGAAAUGACUGCUAUGAACUUACAAUUUCUUUUUAUCCAUCACAAUCAUUUAUAUUACCGUACACCUAUGCAUGGUUAGUUUUGUGUAACUGUCGUCAACGUUUGUGAGGAAAGUCUUCGUAUCAUUUAGGACGACUCUAAGUCUAUACAACUUCAUUUCUUCCUUUGAGGACAUUAUUAGUAUUUUUUUAUAUUAUUUCUUGCUCGUUUGCCAGGUUGCUUGGGUGACAAAGUCUGGAGAAACUACAUUGGAAACUCAACUUGCUCUUCGUCCAUCUAGUGAAAGUAUCAUGUAUCCCUACUACUCUAAGUGGAUAAGGGGACAUCGUGACUUACCGUUGAAACUUAAUCAAUGGUGCAAUGUUGUUAGAUGGGAGAUCGGAAAUCCCACACCAUUUAUCAGGCACUUUUUUUUUACUUUUUUUCACUAUGUUUUCUAUUCUUCAUGUUAUAACAAUGUGUUGGCUGCUGUAACAUAAUGAAAAGUUUAAAGCUUUAAAUAAAAUGCUUUAAAAAUUCCAAAAAUUGAUAUUCUGUAUUGUGGUUAUAUGUCUUACAUAGUGUCAUAAAAUCCAGCACGUUUUCUUUUUGAAUGAAUGUUCAUCUGGUAGUGAUUCAGGUGAAUUAUUCAUAGUGAAGCAGGCUAGCAAAACACUUUUUUUCUAGAUUGUUUUUAAUCUGAACUUUGCAAGAAAUAAUACUUGUUAAAUACUAAUUUCUUAUUGAUAUCUUAGAUAUUGUUUUUAUCACACACAUCUACUUUGUAUGGAACUUGUUUAUAGUCAAUUUCAGGGUGCUUAUACAAUUUUUUAUCACAGGAGUCGUGAGUUUCUUUGGCAAGAAGGACACAGUGCUUUUGCAUCAAAAGAUGAAGCAGAUGCAGAGGUAUUCAAUCAAAUAGUUAUUUUAGGGAUUUCUCGUUUGAUCUAUUUUCAUUAGUAAUCUUCCUUAAUUUACGCAUUUUGGUAUCCGUAAUGAGUCUUUAAGCACCUUCUCCUAUCUCGUGCUUCCUUGUUGCUUCUGGUGCAUACAAUUUUCUGAUACUAACAUGUUCAUAAUUUCAACCCAAGCACGCAGACUGCUCAUCUUUUAAAAUUUUAGUUUUCAAAAUUCUGUAAAUUGUUAUUGUUUCAGGUUCUUGAGAUAUUGGAAUUAUAUAGGUGUAUAUACGAAGAGUAUUUGGCAGUUCCUGUCAUUAAGGGUACGAAAAGUGAAGUUGAAACAUUUGGCGGUGCAAUUUACACUACCACUGUUGAGGUUCAUGUCUAACAUUCUUCUGUGGACAUUGAUAUGUUGUUUGAAUGGUAAAAAUUUAGAAGGUUUUUAAAAUGUUGAUGUUCAAUUUUCCUAGGCAUUUAUUCCAAACUCUGGUUGUGGGAUACAAGGUGCAUCUUCCAAUUGUUUAGGACAAAAGUUUGCUAACAAGUUUGAGGUCAACUUUGAAAAUCAGAAUGGACAGAAAGGCAUGGUUUGGCAGAACUCAUGGGGAUAUUCUACUCGAACUGUAAGCUUUUAAUGUAGAAAGAAUAUAUAUACAUUUGAGGAUUCAUUUAUAUAUGUUUGCAUUUUUAUUUUUUUUCUGCUUUUAUAACAGAUUGGGGCAAUGGUCAUGGUUCAUGGUGAUGACAAAGGAUUGGUGUUGCCUCCUAAAGUAGCAUCCAUUCAAGUCAUUGUGAUUCCAAUGCCUCACAAAGAUGCUGAUGCUCAAGGAAUCUUUGACAAUUGUUCUGCAACUGUGAAAUUGUUAAGUGAAGCAAAAAUCCGUGCUGAGUUAGAUUCUAAUAAUUACUAUUCUCAUGGAAGGAAGUGUAUGGAGUGGGAAAUGAAAGGGGUUCCUCUAAGGAUUGAAAUUGGACAAAAGGAUUUAGCAAAUGAGCAGGUUACCAAUGUUGUUUGGUUGUUAAUUUGAUUCUUAUAUGUCAUUUUAUUUCUACCCUGUAUGUUCAAUGAAACACCCAAUAAAUGUCUUCAAUUUUGCCCAGGUUCGUGCUUUUCGACGUGAUAAUGGAGCAAAGGUUGACAUUGCUUAUGCUGAUUUGGUUGAGAAAAUAAAGAAGUUGCUCAAUAAUAUUCAGCAGAGUAUGUUCGAUGUUGCAAAACAAAAACGAGAUGAAUGUAUUCAAGUCAUUCAUACAUGGGAUGAGUUUGUUGAAGCUUUGAAUCAAAGAAAGAUGAUCUUAGCUCCUUGGUGUGAUGAGAAGGUAGAAAUUGUGUAUUUUUUUAUACAAUUACAAUAAUCCAGGUGUAACAAUAAUAUUCUUGCCAAGUUUUGAGAUUUUAGGUGUUUUAUUUUGAAUUCUAAAAUUAUGAAAAACGCAAACACGCACUCUAGACACGACACUUGCAUGCACCCGAUACAUACACUUGUAGUCCAAAUUAUAGGAUGCCAACAGCAAUAUUUAUAAAAGGUCUAAUUUUGAGAAUAAAAAGCUUUAUAUUUUCAUCAUCAUAUCAAAUACAACUUGUUAAGUAUUGCAUUUUUUAUAAUGAAUCUCACCACAAAAUACUAAGAGAUAUCAUUAUAAAUUUGAACAAUCCUAUGGUUGUGUUUUGGUAAAAGGAACUUUCUUGGUAACUGUUUUUGAUCUAUAUAAUGCUUCAGGAGGUGGAAUUAGAUGUCAAAGAAAGGACAAAGAGUGAGAUGGGAGCAGCGAAGGCUCUAUGUAGUCCCCUUGAUCAGCCAGAGAUCCUAGAAGGUAAAAUCCUUGUUUCAUAUGUUUUUGUCAAUGUUUGCUUCUGUUACUGUAUGAACAAUUCGCUGUAUAUCACAAUUGAUCUUGAUGUUGCUUAAUAUUUAAUCUUCCCAGUGAUGUUUUUUCUUAAUAAGACUGUGCGGUGUUGGUUUUACAGGCACGAAGUGCUUUGCAUCAGGUAAGCCUGCAAAGAAGUGGACAUACUGGGGAAAAAGUUACUAGGCGUAUUUUGAGGUUUAAUCCGUGUGUAUCAUUCCGUUUUUUCGAACAUUAUCUCAAAUUAGCAGCGGCAAGAAACACAGUCCAUUUCUUUUGUUAAACGAUUUAUUAUUAAAAUACUGCUACCCAAAUUCUUGUGAUAUUUUUCAACCAAAGUAUUUUUUGAGUAUUGUGAAACAUAGAGCACGGAAACCUAAAGAACACAAAUAACAAUUUACUAAAACACAAUCGUCAAAUUUAAUUAAAAUUAUAUGUCACUGCAAAAUAAUAAGUCAAUUAUGUCAGAGUUUAACUGCCGUUUCAGAUACAUAGAACUUAAGGUUCCCAAGUUGGUCAAUCUAACCAAAAUCCAGCCAACAAAAGAAGAUCUAAAGACUAGAAUAGCGUCUCCCCAAAAGCCUUCCUUUGAUUGGUGGCAUCGGCUUCUUCGCCACAAUUUCGCAGGCUGUUUUGCGGAGCCUUCCACAGUACAUCCUCUCAUCAUGGGAGUAAGAGUCUGAGAAGAGAACUCAACUCCAGCUGCUAAAAGCUCCCUCUUCUAAGCCUUCUAUAAUCAGUUUUAACGGAUAUUGAAAAUCUACAAUUUUGUAACACCUCACGCCUUGCGUAACUACCUCCUUCAUGUUGUCUUUUGAAGAUCUAAGAAGGGAGUAUUCUCUCUUGUCCAAAACCGGGUCUGGAAGAAGCUGGAAGGUUGGAAGGAAAAAUGCCUCUCACAAGCGGGAAAAGAGAUUUUGAUCAAAGCUACAGUGCAAACUAUCCCCCACUACAUAAUGAGCUGCCAUAAAGUUUUGAUGAGUGCUACAAAGAGAUAGAGUCAAUGGUAGCUGAACUUUGGUGGGGACCAAAGGAUGGAGCUCGGAAGAUACAUUGGAUGUGUUGGAACAGAUUGGCAAAAUCGAAGUAAAGUGGGGGAAUGUGAUUCAAAGGAUUUCAACAUAGCGCUCCUUAGUUAGCACGGCUGGCGCCUACUGACUGAGGAGAACUCCUUAAUGGAGCGGAUCUUCAAAGCUAGGUACUACCCAAGAAGCUCAUUCAUGGAAGCUAUGCUUGGAGAAGUAUCCUCAGUGUGCACAAGAAGCCAUGGAUUUUUAAUUAACUUAGAAUUUACCAUAAAAAGAAUAACAUCCCAGCCUGUUCUAACCCCCUUGACAGUAGCUUAGACUCUAAUUCUGUUGAAGAUAGAUUUUUUUGUUGAUGCUGGAUGUUAUGUAGGAGGAUCCACAAGAUAGGGAAUGGUUUUUUUUGAUAGAUCCAAUGCUGGCCGAGUUUGAACCUGUCUCUUUGACAACAUCGAAGUUGAACCUGUUAUGGCUGAAGCAUUGGGUGUUUGUUGGUCCUUACAAUUUGCGCUGGAACAUAACAUGAAGAGAAUUUCUUUAGCUACUGAUGCAGCUUUCGUUGUUAACAACCUCAAUAUUAAGUGUUGCUUAGCCGCCAUUGAUCCUAUCAUGCUAGAUUGUAAAAUGUUGACGAAACACUUUGAAUUUGUGUCUGUUUAUCAUGUAAGAAGGCGCUUAAAUGUUGUAGCUCACAAGUUAGUAGGUUUAUCUAGGAGUAUUGGCUCCAAAACUUGGAUGGGAUCUCUCCCACACCAGCUGCAAGCUGAUCUUUUGUUUGUUUUUCUGUAUGUUGAUUGAAUGAGUUUACCUUAAAAAAAAAACUAUAAUGUUCUCUAUAAUAUACUCAAAAAUAGUGCCUGUGUACUCUAGCCAACCCUU
rnacentral:lncRNA from 1 species